CAAAAUCAUUUAAUUUUUCCAAAAAUACAAAUAAAUUAACUAAUUAAUGAUAAGUAGGUUUGGUGAAGUGCGGUCCUUCUUGAAUAUCAAUAAUGCUGCUUCCACUAACACCUUCACUUUCCAAAAAGUUUAACUUUUGCAAAAUUGCAAUAUUCCUCUUUAAAUUGAGUCAGAAACAAACCAGAAACUAAAAUCACAAACAACAAUGGAUCUCAACUGCAGUCCUUUCUCCUUUCUUCUAAUACUAAUUCUGAUGAGCUUCUCAAUCUAUCUUUCGUCAUCAUCAUCAGUUCAGCCCACAUGUAAUGGUUCAAUAGCAGAUUGCAAUUUUGAAGAAUAUGAAACUUUGAUGGACUCAGAAAUAAGCAGAAGAUUUCUUGAACAGAAAAAAUAUAUAUCACCUGGUGCUCUGAAAAGAGACCAACCAGUCUGUAAUGGCGGUGCUAAUGGUCAGUCUUAUAGUAGCAGUUGUUUGCCUCCUUCUUCCAAUCCUCAGAAUCGUGGUUGUCCUAGGUACUAUCGUUGUAGGUCUGAUUCUUGAAUUCCAAACUUAAAUUUAUUUUAUUGCUUUCUUUUUCUUUUCCUUUUUUUUUUCAAAAGCUGUUACUAAGCUUGUAAUCUGUUGAGAUCACUUUAAUAACAUUUAAGUCAAUUGAGUAUUAAUUUCAGAAGCUUUGUUCUGUAAUUUUCUAUUUGUUUUUCUGCUUUGGGUGAAAUUUUAUCAUUAAACAAUUAAUUAUAUUUUAGUGUAUGUGUGUGUGUAUAUAUAUAUAUGAUUUCUUAUUAUAAUUACUUAAUUAUUUGCAAUUUCCUUUUCUUAUUCUAUGUUUAUAUUGGAUGUUAAUCCAUAAAACAGUAUUGAGAGUGUCUGACUUAUAGUGCAAAAGUUGAUGUUUUUAUAUCUAAAUUAGUAGUUAUUAGAAAUUCAUUAAUAGAUGAUAACAUUUGGUUGAGUAUUAUUUAAUUUUAUAGAAUUAAACCUGAAAUUUUUGCUGAUGCAAAACAUAAAAAUAUGAAACUCUAAAUGUGAAAUUUAUUUAUAUCAAAUGAUCACUUGUAGCAGUUUUUUUUUUUUUUUCAUAUUAUAUUGAGUUUGUAUUAAAUAUAAACUUUCAGUUUUCAAUUUAAUCAUUCUUCAAUUAUUUGUACAUUUUCUAAAAUUUUAUUUUAUUUUUUGCUUUAAAGAUAAAGAAAUCCUUAAAUACAAGUGAUGAUAUAAAGUUUGGGAGUUGACAUUGUAACAGCUUCUAAGGUUUUACUUCACUUCCUUUUGCUUGAUUUCCAUUUUUUUCCCCUCUGAGAUGUUUCAAAAUUCACGUGAAUUUUGCAAUUGUAAUCCAAUGACACCUUGAGAUUUGUGAAUGAUCUAUCCGAACUUGCAAAUUUUGAUAACAUUAAUAAAAUUUUUAGAUUUGUUGCUUUUAUAUACAAAAUAUUAAUCUGAUGUGUAAUUUGCAUAACUUUUAGAAUAAUAAUUUUUAUAUUUUUCUAAUUAUAAGUUAAAAGUGUUUUUACAGGUUAAAAUAAUAAAAUUCAAAAGUAAAUUUAUGUAUCCGGUCUAUUUAUAAAUAUCAGUUAUAUUUAUGAACAUAAAUAAUUAAAAGAUAUAUUUAUUAUCAACUCGUUAAAUUAUUUCUAUCCAAACUCAAGAUUGAAAAUAUUGUGAAAUAGUGCAUGGUAAAACCUUUGUUUUUGCUCAACCAAACUAAAACAAGCACAACUUAUUGUUUCCAUUGUGACAAAAAAAACUCCAAAUUUACUAUUCACAAAACGUUAAUUACUGCAAUGUGCUUGAAGAUAUAUCAUGACACUGACAGCAGUAUCAAUGUGGUUAGCUUUGUUCAGUCAAAACUGCAGUUCAUUCAUGAACCCAAGUGAAACGCAAAGCAGACGUUUGAGAUUUCCAUUCCCACUAUUUGUAGUCAAUAUAUGAUAUCAUGGAUCAUUGAACAAACAUGACAUGAAACAAAGCAAAGUUUUAGGCAGAAAAGUAAAGAAAAAUCUGCAAACAUGUUAAGCAAGAAAAAGGACUUUUGAAUUUUACAGUACGAUUGAGGCCGAGUUACCAUAUCCUAUGUAUCAGACAACAAUACAAUUUGAUGUACCUAAAAUCAAAAUCUUAAAACUACUUCAUCGAGAGCUUCCAUACCUCUCGAACAUUGGAAGAACCAUCUGCAACUUCAGCAACCAGACUUCCAGCCAUAAUUCCUUCAUCAAGAAAACAAAGAUCGUCCUAUCAAUACCAUUGCAAGGAGGAAGAAGAAGAAGAAGAAGAAGAAGAAGAAGAAGAAUUUAAAGGAAAAGGCGAAAACUCUUAAUUGCAUGCCAGGGCAAGAAUACAGACAUUUUUCCCCAUAUAUUUCUACUAUCCCAGGUUAGGCAUCAUAUUAUGCAUGCAAAUCAUAUGAAUGGGCAGCAUGAGCAAGAACAGCACAAGUAGACCACAUUCAUCAGCCUUCCUGUAUAUGCAUUUUUUUUUUUUGUCCAAGAAAUAAAAUAUAUGGAACAAGUAGACAAAAUGUCUUAGAAGGAGAUCUCACUUUCAUGCAUAAAUUUAGAAUAUAAUUUUUUAUUCCCUUCUUAUGUUCAAAUUUAUAUUUUCUGUGAUAUAAUACAGACAUUAUCCAAAAAGAAAAAAAAAAAAAAGAAAUCUGACUGCCUGACCAUCUUUCUCCACCAUAGAUAGGAAUUGUCGUGUUCCCCCACCGACUCCAAAGUAAUACUUUUUGGCUGCGAAAUACACAACUCCAUGAGGACGGCGCAAGCACUGCAGAAAAACACUUUUGGAAGUCAGGAACUAUAAGUUUAUUGUAGAAGAUUAACAUAAAAUAAAUCGACUACUGAAUAAGGCAACACCUUCUUUAUAAGUCCAUAGAGAUUUUGUUGAGCAGAAAUUGAGUAUAUUGUCUCUGCCAUUAAGAUGACAUCAUAACCAGAAACUGGCUGCUCUGAGCAACAGUCGAGAUCAUUUUCCUUAUUGCAUAUGUAAGGAAGACAUUGGUCAAUUUGACUCCAGUCACCAGCAAAGAACCGCAGUUCUGCACCAGAACCACAAUUCGACUCAUCUGAUCUACCACUAAGACUUUCUUUUGCAAGAUUGACAUUCACAUUGGGAAUAGUGAGAGAUCGCAAGACUUCAGCAUUGAAAUCCUGAAAAUGUACAACUCUCGCACCCUGAUGCAAGAAACAACAAAGCUUUAUUUUUAUUGAAUGGGCUGGGUCUCCUGAUGCUGGCCCUUCAGGUAUCUCGAUGUUACAAAGAAAGAAAAGACGAAUUCCAAUGACAUCCUCAAGAGAGAUGCAAGCCAUGAUUCUAGGCUUGAUAAAAAAAUGUAGAGGAUGUAAAAGUUACCUCAAGGCAUGCAGAUAUCCCCGGAAGUCCAUGACCACAUCCAAGCUGAAGAAGAAUAUCACAGAAACUCACUUAGGAAUUAAAAUGAAAGCAGGAGAGACAAAAAGACAUUUUUCGCUGCAUGUAUUUACAUCCUUCUGAAAGAAACAAUCACUUGGAGGGUUACAUUCAAUUUCUUCAUAUUCACUCAGGCAGAUAUAAUUUUAUCCAACAUUCAUCAAUUUCCUACGGUGAACAUCACUAAAUUCAUUGCCACAAUUACAGGCUUAAAAAAAAAAAAAAAAAAAAGAUAAGGAACUAAAAUAUAAAUCACAACAAAUGUCAAAGACUCUGAUCUAUUAAUGCCCAGACCUCUGUGAAGAAAACUGUGAGGUGAAGCCCAUGCCCACUAGGUGAACGGGUUAAUGUCCCUGCAAUUGGCUAGACCAAUUCAAAAUUACAAUUAUUUAAUUGAAGCAUCUCCUCCCUAUGGAAAGACAUUAUGUUACUUUUGAACCUUACUGAAUUUAGCUUCCACCACCUUCCUCUAACCAUUUUUCAUUGAUUCUGUUAACCUUUAAUAAGUCAUUCACAGAAACAUUAAUGAUUCUAAUAUCUGCAUAUUUUUGUCAUCUUCCUAAAUUUGGUUUAGGAAUGCGCGAAGAGGUCCUUCAAACCAAGGGAGGAGAGAUAAACAAUAUCUUGUGCAUGUGAUGCCCAACAAUAGAACAAAUUUAGGAUAAGCAAAAGAGAAAGGCGAAACAGACUAAGCAGGAAUGAAUGCAUAUGUCAAGGGAAAAUCUGGCGGCAGAAAUGGUGAUUAGACAUGAUGUGGAAAUAAACAAAGGGGUAGAGGUGAUGUGGUGAAAUCUUAAAAGGGAUGGGAUGAUUGUGAACAUGAGUUAAGUUUUAGAACAACUGUUAGUGAAUGUCAUUUAUGUAUUAACUAGAGAGAGACAGAGGAGCGAUUCAAUGACAACAUCAGAUGUCUUUUUGAAAAAGGAUCAAAAACAAAAAAACAUUAGAAUGCCAUGUGUCCUAAAAAAGAUAACAUUAUUAUACAGAAAAAAAAAAAUACAAAAUGCAUAAAUUUAAACUGGUGCAGGAAAUUAGCGUAUGAUCAACCAAGACUGAAUUAGUCAUCAGUUAACUACUAUGAAGUUGAAGAAUCAAUGUGUGAGCAUUGUGGAGCAGUAUCAAAUCACCUGAAGAUUAGGUGCCCACCUCUAAAACUCGCUUUCCAUUAAAUGAUAAAUGCCCACAUUGAACCUCUGAGCGAAGGGCUUUAACAAGGUCCACUGAGCCUUCCCAAAGUUUCAGUCCUCCUAAGUCUCAAAGACAAAUAUAUAUAGUGAUUAAAUAAAGAGAGAGAGGGGAAGGGAUUAAAUAAAGGCAAAGACAAAAAGAAAACCCUUCUUUCACACCUUCAUAUACACCAGGUACUAAAUCAGAAUUGGGCAACCCAAAAACCUCUUUGGUGCUAACACGACCCUGAAAGGAAAAAAAAAAAGUUACAAAAUAACUUUUCACGUUCACCAAAGAUAGAUAUAGAAACAUUACAAGCAUUGUGCAUAACUGACCAAAUACCAACUGCUUUCAUGCCAAAUUCAGGUGAGAUUAGCUUAGUCUAAAAACAGAAUAUAGUUAAGCCAAGACAUUGCUACAUUGAAUUUUUGAGACAAAAUCAAGAACUACUUCCAAGAAGACAGUAAAGAAAGCAAGAAACUCAAUCCAACAUCUCAUCUUUUUUUCCUUCCUUCCUUAUUCCCUUAUUUUCAAUCAAUGCUUAGCAAUCAAACAACAAGUAGGAAACAGAAAACUGACCUUGAACAAAGUGAGACCAUCCAAGGUUACAGGCUCCACAGAAAAUUUCAAAGUCGAUGAGACCUUAAAAUGAAACAAACAUCAAUCAAUUAAUUAUCCAUACAGAGAUUUCUGUUCUAUAACGUACAUGAUUGGAACAGAAAAAUUGAUACCUCAGACGAAAGUACUUCAGUCGGCGGUGGCGGAGGAGGAAGAGGAGCCUCUGAAGAAGGAUCGGAAAAAUCUAACCCUAUUCCUCCCGAAGUAGAAAAUAAUUUAAAAGUUGAGUUUGCGGCCAUAACCUCUACUGAAUUUCUUUUCGAACUUGUGCACUCUGUCACCGAGUAUGAAGUAAUGGAGGUUGUUUUACUGUACUUUUUUUUUUUCUUUUUUCUUUUGGCCAAAUGCAUAAAAUCAUCCCACUAAAAACUAUGACGCAGCCUCUAACUUUUAAUUUGGUAAUACUUUAAACUUAUCAAAUUGCAUCCAUCUAAUAUUUUAACGUGUAAAACCUUUUGUUAAAAUUUUCAAUUUCUAAAAUUAAAUUAAUUAAAUAUUUGCUAAAUAUAUAAUAUAACUUAUUGAACUUAAAUAAAAAAAAAAUAGCCUUUGCGACACAUUGACGCUACACAUUAAAAUCAUUAGUAACAUCUUGAAUUUUAUUUUUUUAUAACAAUUUCACGCAUUGCUACAAUUAACAACAACAGUAAUUUUAAAGGUCUUUUACUUUUUAAAUAUUAAUUUAAUAUGUGAUUAGUAUAAUAUUUAAAGUAACAAUUAUUACAUUUGUUUUAGAAUAAAGAAGACAAGCUUUAUUGAUUAACUGAUAGAUCAAGCAAAAUAUCAACUGCAAUACAACGGGUAAUGCUAUUUCAAUAAUGAAGGCUAGAAGAAAAUUAACAAGCAGCUCGGGCUAGCGAGUGAACCGACUUAUUCGCUUGCCUACAAACAAGUCAAGGAGAUACUUUCCAUCUUGCUGAUAAGAGACCUGUAAUCUGGUAUGACACACCCAAAUUCAGUUAAGUCAGGCUGACCAUGAAGAGAGUCAGACUCAAGAAUAACAGGACCAAACUGACAUUCCUUCAACUAGGAAGAACCUCCUGCAUACCAACAGCUUCUGCAUAAGAAUUAAUAAUUCUUACAUUUUAAUUAUUUAAUAAGUGUUUUCAAGUGAUCUAAUUUUACAAAUUAUGUUGAACCGAUUAAGUUAAAAUACUCAAUAAAUAUAAUUUUAUAAAUUGAAAUAUUUAAUGCGUCAAAAUAAAAGUUAAAAGUAACAUAAAAUUUUUUAUGAAAAGUUUAAAAGUGAAUUUAUUUAUUGAGCCGAAAAUUAUUAUUCUAAAAGUUAUAAUAACUACACAUCAAAUCAAUAUUUUACAUGUAAAAUUAUUAUUGGCAAUUCUUUAGUUCUAAGGGCUAAAUUAUGGGAUUUAUUGGAAGGAAUUAAACUUGUUUAUACCAGAUGUUUUCACGUGUUCAUGUUGAAAGUGACAAUCUCUUGCAGUUCAGCUUAUUAAUGAUUCUAUAGUGAUUCUUCUUUCAGUUUGUUCUCUAGUUCUCUCAAUUUAUAAUUAUUUGCGGCUUGAUGGACUAUCUCUGUCUCUUAUAUAUUUAGGAAAAUUAAUUUCUGUGCUAAUUGGUUGACUAAUCUUGCUUCUUGUUUUGCUUUUGAAAUGCAUAUUUUGGAAGCUUCUCCUCAUGGUCUUCAUCAAUGGUUAGUUUAUGAUAUUACUGGUGUACCUCACUCUAAAAGGAGCAGUAGUUAGUUUCUUUUUCUACAAAAAAAAAAAAAAAAAAACAAAUUUGCAUAUGAAAAUAAAAAACACCAAAAAAUUAUUAUUUCUAAUGUGGAGAGGUAUGUAAUUUUAUUUAAGUUCAUAAUUUUAGAGGCAUAAUAAGUUCCCUCUAAAAAUUGGGAUGUAACACUCUAACACCAUGUAUACAAGGAUAAAUAGUGUUGUGAUGCUAUAUAAUAUAUCAUACAUAUCUAUUAACUGAAAUAUAAGUCGCACCAUGUGUUAAACAGGAAAAACCUAUAUUAGAAAAUUUCUUACUUUUGACAAACAGUCAUAUAUAAAUAUAUACAUGACCAAACAUAAUUUAAAAGUUAUUUAAUACAUGGUGGACGUUAAAGAGUUUAGACCCCUUAUAAAACAAAUUUACAAACUAAGAAGGUGACAUAUACAGACACAAUAAGUCCCGACCUUAGUUCCAUUUCUGCCAAUCUGAACAGAUGGAAAUCUGACUGCUAAUGCCUCCUAAAGCCCAAAUCUAAAAAAAUAUUAGCAUUUUAUAUGAGAUGUCACUCAGUGAGUAAAAACCAUUAUAAAUGAUUAUUUGAAAUAACAUAGCAUAUCAUGAAUAUCUCAAAUAAAGCACAUAAUGCGCUUCUAAUAAUUCAAACAUCUUUAACUCUUUGGGCCACCAAAAGCUCGACAUCAACAAUUAUCAUAUAAUAAUAGUCAUUUAUUAAAUCAUUCACAAUAAUAAUGUACAGAUAUCACAUCAUUCCUGUUGAUAGAAAUUUAUAUCAUAGUUAUUUGAAGCAUCACAGAUAUGAUGCUACAGAGAUAUACUUCAGAAGUAUGAUGCAAAUGAUUAUCAGAUUAUUUAUGUUAUCACCAUUUAAUGAAUAUUGCUUAAGCUCUUUAAACUUCCAUAACCAUAUAAAUAUGGUAAUUUCAAUUUAAACACCAUUCUUUUCAAACUAACACUUGAUAUCAUCGUUAGAAUGCUUAAUCAACUAAUUAAACUCAUCAAUUCAAAACAAAAUGAUCAUUCCAAUGAUCAUUUCGAGUGGGCAGAAUCUCCAUCUUUAGCCUUAGGUAAGAUUUUCGCAAUUCAAUCAAAUUAAAGCUUAAAUCAUGGUUUUUAUAACCAAUACUAACUAAUUAACACUUUACAUCAUGUUCAUUUCACUUAUUAGCGUCAAAAUCAAUCUUCCCUUCAAAAUCUCUACUUUGAAAUCCUAACUCAAACUUCUCCAUAUCAAAUGAAUAGCACAAAUUAGGUAGAAAUUAGUUGCCUUAGGUGAUUUUCAACAAAAACCCUUUGAAAAUCAAGUUGAAUCCUUAGCACGUUAGGCUUUCUUUUUCUUCUUCUCCUGCUUCUCUCCUUAUGUGUCGACCUCUCCUUCUCUCUUUUCUAUUUCCUUUUUGUUCUUUGAUUUUUGCUAUUACUUAGCCUUUUAUAAACUAACAAGUCAUUUGGAAGUCACAUGGCCUCUUAAUCUUCCUUUAACUCCUCAAAUUCUCAUGUAUUCUUAUUUUUACCCACAUUUAUAAUUAUAACUUUUCUUUUAUGUUAAUCAAAUAUAUAAUCCUCUAUUAACACUUAAUUGAUCUCAUUUAGGCCUUAACUAAAUAUCUUAGAUGAUUUAACAUAAAAUCAUUAAAUACUUAAUCAAAAUACUAAUUUAGGUUCUUCACGUGCUAUCUUCUCUUCGCUGUAAUUUGAGCACAUUUAACUUUCUUUUAAUUAUUCUCCAUAAUCAUUUUCCACUUUAAUUAACUUAUGAUUUUGUGAUUAACAAUCUCUUACUAACAUAUUAAAGCAGUCUAAAUCAAUCAAAUCACCAAAAUAAACAUAAUUUUCCAUAAUAGUAUCAUUAUUCUCAUUUGACAAUUCAUUUAUAAACACCAUUUAUAGAUGUACUAAAAGGCUUUAAAGAACAUAUACGCACUCGAUAUGUCUAAGGCGGAGUGCCAGGCUUUUCGAGUUCAGAGUUUAUUCAGAUUCAUGCAUUUGCAUAUUCAGAUUCUUAUUUGAUGCUUAUGUGCAUGGUCAUGUUUAGGCAUAUCAAUGUUUAGGCAAAUGCAUGUAUAUAUAUAUAUAUAUAUAUAUAUAUAUAUAUAUAUAUAUAUAUAUAUAUAUAAAUGUUAUAUGUGUCAUGUUCAUAAAUACAUAUGUAUGAUCAUGGUAUGGUGUUUCACAAUAUUUUUUAUAUAAAAUAUAAAUUUAUGUAUGAGACCUUUAUUUUAUUUUAUUUUUUAAUUUCGCGGAGAAAUUUUUUUUUGAUUAAUUUUAAAAUUAAAGAUUUCUACAAUUUAUUAUUAUAGAAAGAAAGGGAAAGGUAAAAAAAUAACAAUAAUAAUUUUGACAAUUGACUAAUUAUUUUAAUUUUGUUAAUCGGUACCUUCUAUUUAUAUUUGAUUGUAAUUUUCUUAUGAUUAUGUUGGAAUUCAACUGACAUGGCCAUUAAGGCACAUAUAUUACCACCAGGUACAACGUCAGAAUUGGCCAACUCAACAAAAUUACAAAAUAACUUGAAAUCCUCAAUUCACUAAUAAGAUAGAUAUAGAAAAAUCAUACUCGAUUGUGCACAGAUGGCCAAGUUUAAAAGUUAAAAGACUUUUAAACAACCAAAGGUUUAUUUGGUUUUCCACUCAAAAUCUUAUUAUUAGCAUUCUGUUGGAAGAGCGGAGUGUGAAGGAGUGCAGAAGCUCUUCUUAUGAACACUUGCUCUUGACAGACAUGGUAACACCUUGACUGUAUUCCAAAGAAAGAAAGAAUAAUAUUGUCAUUGAUGUGGUUGCAACAAUUAAGAGAAAUGUCUCUUACAGAAUAUGGAAUCAAAUGCCACGAGCAAAUCCAAAAUGAAUGAUUAGAUUUGAAUGAAUAAGUUGUAAUGUUUCUUUUUUACUAUUUUGCAGCAUGAUGCUGCAUAAAACUGAUGCUAUCAACAAAUUAAAUCUUCUUCAUUUCUUAACCCAAAUUGCCUUUUUAUGUGUUCCACUUUAAGAAUAUGAAGUGCAUUUUCUUUCUAACUAGGCUUCCAAGUGAUAAUAAAAGAAUUACUUCAGAGGCUCUUCUCUGAGCUAACUGGCUUUAAGCAGAAUGUAGUUGUUGGUGUUUGAAGUGCAGAGAGGAGAUAUUCAAUGCACAUACAAAAGCAUAUAUAUAUACAUAUAUACUACUUGUGGAGAAAAAACAACAUCAAAAUGAUCCAAUAAAACUGAAGUAUAAACUGAUUUUUUGCAUCAAACAAAACAAAUCAUUAAAAAGAAACAAAACUGCAAGCUUUCAUUAUAGUGUUUAGUAUAGCUUUACAAAGAGAAGCAAAUUAUAAACCAUAAAUCUGCCAAUGUCAAAUCAGAAACAAAAAAUCUUUCCUACAAAAACCAGUGCUUAGUAUAGUUUCUUUCUUCAUCCAUAGAAACAAAGGGAUGUUCCAGUAACAUAUCAGCAGACAAUCUCUGAUCAGCUCUUCUAUCCAAACACCAACCCAAGAAAUUCUUUGCCUUCACCGAUAAAUGCUUAGGAACCGCAGGCACUCGAUUAGUAUAACCAAUCACUAGGAUGAUAUCACGACUAUAACGAAACUCCCAGACUGGUUUUCCUGUUAGCAUCUCCAACACAACACAACCAAGUGCCCAUAUAUCUGCAGAAUACCCCAGUUUUUUAUGCUUCACCAUUUCCGGCGACAUAUACAUGUGUGUUCCUCUCAAACCGGUGCACUCUUCUUCCUCUCCAUGCAUCGCCUUUGCUAACCCGAAAUCAGCAAUUUUCGCCAUAUAGUUUCCAACCCUUAAGCCAGUACCAGGCACAAGUAAGAUAUUACCUGGCUUGAUAUCACAAUGAACAUAACCAUGACUAUGAAUGUAUUUCAAACCACGAAGAAUAUCCCGCGUGUAAUUCUGAACGACGAUCUCAGGCAACCCACCGCCAGAUAAGCUAAUAUGAUCACCUAAACUAAGACGAGAACAGAACUCCAAAAGCAAGUUGUAUAUUUUCUCACCGUUCCUCAACUCUGUUAUUUCAUCCCCAUAGCAACGAACAACGUAAGGGCUUGUACCAAGAUUAGAAAGAACCUGUUUCUCGUACUGAAGUGCAGAAGCGAGCUCCAUCGUCGCUGAUUUUACAGCCCAUAUGAAAGGGAAGAUGAGAUUCUCGGUUUUUUCUUAGCGCGUAAAAAACAGAACCAAAACCCCCUUUUCCAAGCAAGUAGACUCUCGCCCAAGAAACUCCAUGUGAAGUUUCUAGACUAAAACCAGGCAUGGUCCGUUUCUUCUCCAUGCCCAUCUUCUUGAAGGCAUCUCGCCUUUCCAUCCGAUUGCCAUAAGAGAAAACUGAAUUUAUAUUCAUAUUUGAAGAGAAUUUAAUGUGAGAGUGGUAUUUAUAAUGGAAUAGAAACUCACUUUGCAAGAUGUUAAUUCUAAGCGAGAAACAUGCGGAAAUAAUCUUGGUUGAAGGGAUUUUUUCUUUCCGCGUACAAAAUUGAACCAAACUCUGUGUCUAAAGUAAGGCCAGUAGUGAUGCUCUGUUUCUUUGCCAUGUUCUUGACUGGUUUCUUCAUCACCGCCGUCAGAGAAAUUGCGGUAGUUUGUGGGAUUUGGAGUAUUAGAUUAGUUUACUCGGAGACUUUUCAUACUUGAGAAUCAAGAAUCUCUAAGUACGAGUGUGAUAGUUUCUGUUUUCACCGUUAUUUUCCCCAACCCAUUAGUUGGACAUGUGUUGGGAGAGAAUCUAAAUCAUCAUUAAGAUCUUUUGACAUCGUUAAUAACAUUAUACUUUGUAAAUAAAUCUUUUAUAAAUAUAUAUAUUACUGAUUAUUUGAAACCACAAUGACAUAUUGAAAUAAAAAGAAAAAACAAAAGUCCAAUACUACUUGACUAAGGAAAUUUUCAGUUUAUUAAUUUGAAGAAUUAUUUAUGAGUUAAUCUCAGAUUUUGACCAUCAUGGAUUUAAUUAAUUGUUAGCUUCUUGCUUUUCAAAUGUCUAAUCAUACAAAGUUCUUGGAAUAUAAACUCAAAUUGGACUUACACAUACCAAAGUAACAAUAUCGAUUUAAAUAAUACCCACGCGUGUCAACGUUGACAUAACAAAAAUAAAUUAAAAUAAAAUAACGUAAGGUGUUUAAAAUUUCAUCUCAUGUAAUCAGCAUAUACUUGAGAUAAAUAAUUAGAAUAUAUCGUUUUGUUUAAGAAAAAAAAUAUGUAUUAAUAAUUGACUAUAAAUUGCUGUACAAAUCUUGUGGUCAAAUUUUCUUUUUUCAUAAAAUAAGAGAGUAUAGCUCUAAGAAGACAGACACAAUCUAGAGUAUGUUACACCUCUAGAAUCAUGCAACAGCCAGUCAUCCAACCCAGGAAGGGUGAGCCUUCCCUUGAAUGAGCUGGACCACAAGAGAAUUAUCACUUUCUACCAUAAGAGGUCUAAAAUUUCUUUGCUUAGCAAUCUUCAGACCUUCUAAAAUGGCCAAUAACUCUACACUCGGGAUCGAACAGCUCCUCAGGUUAGAAAAAAAAAACCAACAACACAUUUACCAGCAUGAUCUCUAAACAGCCCCCUCCACUUGCCCUAUGAGCAACAACUGAGGCGUUUGUAUUCAACUUCAAGAACGGGAUGAGAGGGAGGAACCCAAUAAACCCAUGACCAUAUGCACCUUGUUACUCAGAACCUCAACCAAAUUCAAUUUAGCAAAGUCUGGGUUAUGAAUAUCUCAAGCAGAAAACACAACCUCAUCUUACAAACUUUUAACCUUAAUGUGCUCAUCGACAAAAACUGGCUUUUUAUUCUUUUGGUGUAAGUUUAGGAAAUAAAUUAUACAAAAAGUUGAUGUUUGGACAAAUUGAAUAUUACUUCCAAGUUCAGGGGCAAAUUGAAUUUUAUUUUUUAAUCUUAUCAUUAAUACGAGAGAAUAUUAACAUUAUUCGUAAUAAAUACAUUUAAGUUUCUAUAGUUUGUUAUGUCAAAAAAAGAAGAUAAAAUAUAUUCUAUUAUUUUGUUUUAAAUAAUAAAUAUACUUAACCAUAUAAUGAUUUAACACUGUCAGCAUUUAAUGAUAUUGCAUAAAAAUUUUAUUUUUAAAAAAUAUAUAUAUCUUCUUCUUUUAGAAACAUUGGAGGGAAAAACCCUAGAAAAAAAAACUAAGACAUAAAACGCCUAACACGUGACUAUACCAUACAUUUAAUUUUCCAAUGCACGAACAUUGUCACUUCAAUAGUAUGACUAUCAAGAAUAUAGUGACCAAUCGCUCCAUUCACAGCCAAAUUAGCUAACCUAUCAGCAACUUUAUUCACUUCUCUGUAACAAUGUUGAAUCCGAACUUCCCAACUCUGAGAGACAAGAGCUUGAUAUUUUCUUUACUUAUGUAGAAAAACUUUUCCUUAAAGUUUGGGAUAAAAUUCAUUUUUCAUGAAUUAGAUUUCUUUUUUAUUUUAUUUUUUAAUAACUCAAUCAAAUAUUAAUUUUAAUUGAAUAAUUAGCUCCAUAAUACCUAAUGAAUUUUUGCCUUAACAAAAUUUAUCUUUGAUUAAUAUCUUUCCAUAUUACAUUACAAAUCAGAAAAUAUGAAAAUAAGAGCUUCUGUACAUAAAAUUUGUGAAAAAUGCGACAUAUAAUUGUGUUAAGAUUAAAUACAUAAUGCAAGACAUAUAAUCAACUCAAGUUGACCAAAGUUUGAAUAACAAUUUAUUCAAUUUGCACGGCUUGGAUUAUUUAUAUUUUAGUAUAAUUAUAAUUUCAAUUUAAUUUAAUAGCAUUAUCUUGAUGGAGAUGUAACUACUAGAUAUUAUCUUGAUAAGGCAUUAUCUGAAAAUAUAAAAUAACUGAUGUCAUUACAAUUAUACUAAAUAACUGCUCUUUUUACACUUCGCAAUUUGAGAGAUUUACACUUGAUUGUCGUAUAAGAUAAACUUCUUUGCUUUUAUUUGUUAUAUAAUUAAUUGUAUUUAUUGGGUAAAUUUAAAAGCACUCUUCCCAACACAAUUAUAAAAAAUAAAAGCAGAAAAAGAUAAAAAAAAUCUCAAAUUAGUUAUGGAAUGAUGAAAAAUAUAGCUUUUUAUGUGCAAUUUGCAUUAAUCUAAUUUUUGUGCUUAAUUUUUUAUUUGUAGUUAUUUAACAAGAAGUUUGAUCUUAUAUGUAGUUUACUUAAUCUUUAUUUAUUAUAUAAUGUCUAAUUAUGUAAAUCAAGACGUAUUAAUAUUUUGUACAUCUAAUUUGUAGUUUAAUUAAACUUAUCCUAAAUUCAUGUAUAUAUUUUUUUUUAAAAUAAGCCAUAUUAUAUAUUUAGAUAAAAUUAUUCAUUUGAUUUUUUUUAUUCAAUUAUAUAUGAGUAAUAAUCUUUGAAUUAAUUAAAUUUUAAUGUUAACUGGAACUAAUCCUCUCUGUUCUAGUUUCUUUUCAAUAAUUUUUAUAAAGAUAAUUUUUAUAUUAUUUACUUAUAGAAAAUUUUAAAAAAAUUUAUUUAAUUUUAAAUUUUCUGAACUUAAUUUAGAUAUUAUAUUAUAUUAUGUGUAUAUUAUAAAUUUCAAAAUAUAGGAUUUAUACAUUGGAAUUUAUCCCUGCUUUUCAAUAUAUUUUCACAAAUUUUCUAAAUGAAAUAUGAUCUAAUAUAUAUAUAUAUAUAUAUAUAUUAUAAUAGUUCCCUUUAGUAUUUAAUUUAUAAAUUUUAAAAUUAUGAGUUGUUUAUACUUAAAGUUAAAAGUAAAAUUUUUUAUUCCAUAAAUUUUCCAUCUAUGUGCAAUUUAAUCUCUUACCAUAAUAUGAUAUAUAUGAUUAAAAAAAGACGAAUAAGAAAUCAAUAAUCAUAGCUAACUAUAGGAGGUAUAUAUGUACAAAUGUCAUGAUAUCGUAGUUCUCUACUAAUACAAAAUUUCUUUAUUCUUUAUCGUAGUAAAAGCCUUUUAACAAUUAAAAUGAAUAUAUAUCUUUUUUUUUUUUUUUUAAAUUUGACUAAUGAAAAAUCUAACAUGAAUUGCAUGCUUUAUUAGUUCAAGUGGUUAGCAUCACUUUUUGGUGGUUUUGGAAAUGAGAAAUGAAUGAAUUUUCAAGGUAAGAUGUUCAUUUAGAGGCUAACUUCUUUUGUAUUAAGUUUUCAACUCGUACUAUAACUUGAAAUACUCUUCAGAGUAAUAAUUGGGUUAUGCUACCUUUUGAAUUUUUUCUGUUGUUGCUUGAAUUCCUCAGGUUAGAUUAGCUCUAUUCAUUGAGAUAUUUGUGGAAAUUGAAUGGAGAGUGAUAUGUUGUUGCUUCAGUUCCUCUUCAAUUAGGGUAGCUUCAUGGGUUGAUAUAGUUGGAUAAAUUUAAUGAGGAGUGAUAUAUAAAGAUGGGGAUGAAUAUUGUUAGUUAGAUACAUAUAAGUUAGUUUAAUUUAUUGUUGGGAUAGUUGAGAGUCAAGUGUGAGUGACAUAUAGAUGUAAUUAUUUUUACACUUGAGAAUCAACUCAUUAAUUGAAUCAAAAUAUAAUCUUAUUCUAACAUUAUAUAUUACUAUAAUUAAAUAUGAGAAGAACCUAAUAUUUUAUUAAUAAAUACAUUUAAAUUUCGAUGGUUUGUUUUGUUAAAUAAUAAAUACUAAAUUGUAAAAUGAUUUAAUAUUAUCAGCAUUUAAUGAUAUUGCAUAAAAUGCUAUUAAAAAAAUUAUUAAAGCAGAAAAGUUUUCCUUACAAUUUGGGACAAAAAUUAUGGUUCAGGAUUUAAUUAUAUUUUUGUCCAAUCUUUUUAUAUUUUAAUAAUUAAAUUAAAUAUUAAUUUUAAUUGAAUAACUAGCUCCAUCACGCCUAGAAAUUUGGUCUAUACAUGGUCAAUCUAUAAACGGUUAUUUGACCAUAUCAAGAUACCGCUCUUGCCUGACACCACAGGGCUUGUACCAAGACUAGAAAGAACCUGUUUCUCAUACUGAAGUGAAGAAGAGUGCUCCAUCGUCGCUGAUUUUACCGCCAUGUGAAAGGGAAGAUGAGAUUCUCAGGUUUUUCUUAGCGCGUAAAAAACAGAACCAAAACCCCCUUUUCCAAGCAAGUAGACUCUCGCCCAAGAAACUUCAUGUGAGGUUUCUAGACUAAAACCAAUCAUGGUCCGUUUCUUCUCUAUGCCCAUCUUCUUGAAGGCAUCUCGCCUUUCCAUCGUGAUUGCCAUAAGAGAAAACUGAAUUGAUAUUGAUAUUUGAAGAGAAUUUAAUGUGAGAGUGGUAUUUAUAAUGGAAUAGAAACUUACUUUUCAAGGUGUAUAAUUCUAAGUGAGAAACAUGCGAAAAUAAUCUUAGUUGAAGGGAUUUUUUCUUUCCGCGUAGAAAACUGAACCAAACUCUAUUUCUAAAGUAAGGCCAGCAGUGAUACUCUGUUUCUUUGCCAUGUUCUUGACUGGUUUCUUUAUCACCACCGUCAGAGAAAUUGCGAUAGGUUGUGGGAGUUGGAGUAUUAGAUUAGUUUACUCGGUGACUUUUCAUAUUUGAGAAUCAAGAAUCUCUAUGUAUGAGUGUGAUAGUUUCUGUUUUUACGUUAUUUUCCCCAAACCAUUAAUUGGACUUGUGUUGGGGAGAAUUUUAAUCAUAAGUAAGAUCUUUUGACAUCGUUAAUAUCAUUAAUUUGCGGGAUAUAGUUCAACUUUAUACUUGUAAAUAAAUCUUUUGACAUCGUUAAUAUAUAUAUAUAUAUUACUGAUUAUUUGAAACCACAAUGAUAUAUUGAAAUAAAAAGAAAAAAACUAAAGUCCAAUACUACUUGACUAAGGAAAUUUUCAGUUUAUUAAUUUGAAGAAUUUUUUAUGAGUUAAUCUCAGAUUUUGACCAUCAUGGAUUUAAUUAAUUGUUAGCUUCUUACUUUUCAAAUGUCUAAUCAUACAAAGUUCUUAGAAUAUAAAUUCAAAUUGGACGUAGACAUACUAAAGUAACAAUAUUGAUUCAAAUAAUCCCGAUACGUGUUAAUCUUGACAUAACAAAAAUAAAGUAAAGUAAGGUGUUUAAAAUUUCAUCUUGUGUAAUCAGCAUAUCCUUCAGAUAAAUAAUUAGAAUAUAGUAUUUUGUUUAAGAAAAAAAUAUUUAUUAAUAAUUGACUAUAAAUUGCUGGACAAAUCUUGUGGUCAAAAUUUCUUUUUUCCAUAGUCACAAAGCUCUCUUUAAUGUCUUUCUAGCAAUGAAAGAAUAAGAAGGAGACGCAUGUUAUUGACAUCCAAAUACAUUUUGUUCAUUUUUGUCUUACGUUUGGAAGGUUAUUUAUAUCAUUUUUCAUCUACUUAACAAACUAAUUAGAGAAAUUAGACGAAAGCACAGAAUGUUAUGACGAAAUUAAAACAUAUGGACUUCAAAAAACAUUUCUAAAAAUGCAUGGAUUGACUAGUUGUAUUUUGAUAAAUAUAUGGACGUAAUACUAUGCUUAAUUAUUCAACUAAAGAUCUUAAUCGAUUCUCCUUUAGGGCAAUUUCUCAAACCUAACCAAACUAGAAUGAAAAAUUGAAGUGAAAAAUCUAAUCAAAACAACCGAAUUAAUCCAAAAUUAGGUAAUGUCGAAAAAUUAAGCGAUACAUAAAUUCACUUUUAUACAUUUGGUAGAAAACCCUGUGGCACCAAACUUUACGAUUUAGAUUUUAAAUUAAAUUAAAUUUUCGCAAAAAAUUAAAUUCUUGAUUUUAAAUUUAUCACUAAGACAAGUGGACAUAUUGAAAAAAAUGAACAUCAAUUUGUAGUUCAAAAUAGUAAGUAGAGUGUUAAUCUAAAAAAAAAUUACUAACCAGAAUGGGUCUACCCAAACAGCAAGUAGUCCACAACAAAAGAAUUCUUUUUCUAUUUAAACUAAAAAGUAAUUUCCAAGUGUACCCAUCUGUUAGGUUUGAACUAGAAUUUGUUUAUAUUUUUUUAUGAACUAAAACUAACCGGAACAGUCCGUUUCAAAAAUUAAAUUAGAAUGGUAGUUUAUAGAUCGAUUCAAGUUCAAAAGGAAGAGAAGAAUGCAUUCGAACUGAUUUAUGACCAGUAGUUCAAAUCAACAGUUUAGUUUGACUUCAAUUGAUGUAUAUAAAAUUUUUAAAAAUUAAUUAACUGAAUUUUUAAUUUGUAAUUAAAUAUGAAAAGUUAAUUUAAUAAUUGUUCCAUUUGCAAAUUAGAAGACAGUUUUGAUUAAUUAUUCAAUUUUCAAUUCUUAAUUAAAUUUAGAAAAAUAAUUCAAUUUGAAUUGAAUAAAUGACAUACGAAAAGUCAAUUACAAUUAAUUAUUCAUUUUUGAAUUCUUAAUCAAAUAUGGAGAAUUAAUUUUAAUUAAUUAUAUACAAUCAAAUAUGGAAAAAGCAGUUUGGAUAAUCAAUAUAAUGUUCACUUAAUUUUUUGUUUUCGAUUGCGGGUUCAGUCUAUUCCAGCCAAAGGAUAUGCAAUAUAAUGUUGCGAUUCUCAGUUCUCACUUCUCAGACUAACAUAGUAAUUGUCGCAUCAGGUUUUAAAAGGACAAUUCUCCCAUGUUCAAUGUCAUGAAUUUAGGUGUCAACGAUUAAAGUUUUCAAUUUUCAUUGUAAUUGACUGAUUUCGAUUCUAAAAGAGCAGUGCUAAAUGACACAAUAUGUGUUAGACUCAAUAAAAUUUUUAAUUGUGCAUUUACCUAAUCGCCUCACAUUAAAAUUUGCGGUACGUGAUAUGAGAAGGGUGAAUGAAUAUAGUUGUAUUAGCGAUCAUUUAUUUUUUUUCAUUAGAAAAAAUGAAAGUUAGCCGGUAUGUGACGUGAGAAAGGUGAAUGAAUAUAGUUGUAUUAGCUAUCAGUUCUUUUUUCUUUCAUUGGAAAAAAUGAUUCUCUUCCUAAGUACAGUGAUUGAAUUGUUGGCAAGUAUAGAAUGCAAAGAAAGGGAUGAAUAGAGAUGGAGGGCUCUGAAAUAGUGAAGUGGGUAUGCACUUCCAAAACGACAUCGGGAUUUGCAUGCAUACGUAGAUAUAUUAUUGGGCUAAGAAAACAGAAUAUCUUGGACUUGAAUGCAUGGUAGGCAGUUAGUGCUGAUGAGAAGCCCAAUUUGCUCAAGAUGAAGAGGGAAAAUAAUAUUCCAUCCUUUAGAUACCUUGGACUUGCUGACCUGCUUCAUUGCCAUGUGUAUACGUAGCAUAUUUAUUAAACAAAUAUGUACAUCAAAUAAACAAUGACAACCUUAUCAAAUCUUCAGUUAAUUAUUAUGUGAUGACAUUUUAAUUAAGUGUUAUUGGCAUUGAUUACGGGAAAAAAUGCACUAUAUUGAGAAAUUAUAUCAUUCAGUAACAUUUUCAAAACACUAAAAAUGAGUAGGGAUGCAGGCUAUUUAAAUUGGCUAACUCCUAACCAUAAUCAUGUACACAUAAUUUAAUAGAUGGAGUCGGAAAAAAAAAUUCAAUAAAUCGGGUGACAAAUAGAUUCAAUUGUAAGUGAUCGAUUGAUGGAACCAGUUCACUCCAAAUCGAUACAAUUUUACGUGUUUCCAAUAGAAGAAUUAUUCAAUCGGAGUGCAUUGCACAUUAGAUGAAAAAUUACUAACAUUUGAACAACAUACUGUGACAUUUUUUUACACUUGCUCUUGCCUAUCAUGAUAAGUUACUAAUUCACAUAGCAGGAGGUAAAAGAAUUGAGGACACAUGCAUAUGCACGAUGUUCUAAAUCGCGUUCCAUUCAACAAUACGCAUCAAGAUUGCACAAGACAAUCACUGAAUGAAAAAUAAAAUACAAAAAAUAUGAGAAAUAUAAAAAAAACAGUUCAUAAGGAUGGAAUAGAGACCUAGUAUGAAAUCAGGAAAAGAUGACAUGAAAAGGCUUCAAACUCGUGUCACUGUUGGACAGUGCGCUCACAUAUCAAACUAAAAAGGUAAGGGCAUUACAACCAUUUUCUUCACAAAAAUUCCAGUUGAGUCUCACACGUGCUUUGCCAAAAAUCUUUACCGAUUCUAGAAGCAGGAACUGGGACCAGACUGAUCUAUGGCUUUUCAGCCUCAGUCCAACUUGAAAUCUGAACUUUUCAAACAACUCAUUGCGGUUUGAUUCUAAUUCAAACCGAAUCAAUGGUGGUGCAGGCAACAAACACCUCAAUUAUAGGCGAUCGUGUUGGAGCUAUCUACGGUCAUUUAUUUCAUUUUCGGUUCCCAGUACCUAACUGCCUCCCUCACUGUUAAGGGCAUCACGUGGUAACUGAUUCGUAUCGGAUGGGUCCCUCACCGUGUGUCGGCAAAGACUUCAUACGUAGCCUUCCAAUGUUAAAAAUAAAGGACAGUAAAGUAUAUAUUAUUAUUAUUAUUAUUAUAAGUAUGCAUUUAAAAGGUAACAAUAUAUUAUUUUUAUUUAUUCGAAGAUCACUUAAUAAUUACAAAAUGUCACUUUAAAAUUAAAUAGAAUAAAAAAACACCGUGGCCUUCAAAAAUUUCCAUGGAGAAAAUUAGUUCAUAUCAUUCCAUCAGCAAGAUCAACAAGAACAAAUGAAUUGAACUUAAGAGGACAUUGAGUCUUGUGUGUGUAUAUAUAUAUAUAUAUAUAUAUAUAUAUAUAUGAUUAUAUAAUUUGCUUGCCCACCAGUGCUGGAAGAAAGAACAUUUCACUAAUAAAAUCCUAUGCAAUUCAAAAUUUCUGUUCAAGUUUCUCCUACAUACCCAGAAUAUGUAAACCUGUAAUUAUCUUCAUCUGCAAAACCAAUACUAGGAUCCUUUCCUUCCUUAAUUACCCUCCUAACACUCUCUAUUCUCUCAAGAAUUCCCUUUACUGCUAAAUCAAAUGCAUCUUCAAUUGUCUCCAAUUUAGACCUGGGGUCUGCAUAAAUUAUCCUUGGAAUAAGCCUUAUGACCUCUUCUCUCAUAUACAAUACUCUAUCUUCUGGUAUGCGAAGUAACGUCUUGUUUAUGCCAGCUUUCCAAUCUUUAAUAUCUCUAACAGGUAUAAAUACAGAAUAUUUACUGUAAUUCUUUGGCAAAUGCCACUUAUAUUGAGCAUAGGCGGUGCCGGGAUGAAAGAAAACUGGGAUACACCCUGCCAAGAUAGAGUCAAAUAUAGAUCGCCUGGUAUAUGAAUCCCCUGCUGGCUGCAAGCAGAAAACUGAAUUUUGAAACAAUUUCAUCACAUUUGCCGGAUUAUCGCAGGUAAUUACACCAUUAACACCAUAUUCACACUCUAACAACUUGCAUAUAUUCUUAGAAGCUUGACAUUCCUCAAUAAUCUUGCCUCGGACCGAGUCUUUAAGAUCCGGCCGUGGAGCACCAGCAAAAGAAAACAAGUACGGCCUUUUUUGUUUUCUCAUCUUUUCUUGCCAUUCAAACACCUCACUAUCUUUUGAGGGAUGAAAACAUGUUGGAUAUGGUAUAGCAUAAUCAUUUUUCCAAGAACUACACUCAAUGGACAACAUUGACAAGUUAUUAGAUUCUGGCAUGGUUCUAAGCUUACUACCCCAAUCAGUUUCAUUAUCAGUUCGUCUUCUAAAAUCCCAAGAAAUCCUUCCUGCAACAAAAAAAUGAUCUCUACCCCACAAUUUUUUCCAUUCAGGUUUUUGAACUAGCCAAUUGAAAAGAUCAAAACCAGAUUUAUCUCUUAUUGAGGCUUUAACACCCCAAAGAUAUCUACUGACAUCAAGACCAGCAUAAAAAGGCACGUAAAUAGCAGAGGCAAUAGAAGAAUCAUUAGUUAAACACUUAUACUUUUUCAUUCUAUUAUGGAAAAUUACUUCCAACAAGAAUUGAUUAGUAGAAUACCAACUCUUAUUUAACAAAACUCCUUGAGCAUUUUCAACUUCAGCACCCAAACCAUAAUUAACCAAAUAAGGACACAUAUUAUGCUCAGUCCCUGGUGUAAUUGAUUCACAAUGGUCAAGAAAUUCUUGGUUGAAUUGACUAGGAAGCUCAUGAAUAUAAAUAAAUUGACCCAAACAAGAAUCUUUAACAUAACGGGUUUCGUUAGGUCUAAUUGAGGUUUGAUUCAGGGUUUUGGAUUCAAGGGUAGAGACUGAAUUCUUAUAGUUUUCCACCAAAAUAGACAAAUUAUCUUGGGGUCCAGUCAAAGCUGAAUAAUCAAAACAAAGUAAUAUAAAACAUGAAACAAAUAAAACAAGAAUCACCAACCAGAGUUGAUAGUUGCAGAAAUGUCUGGAAAUUGGCUUCUCCAUCUUCACUUGAAGCGAACAAAAAAUGGCAGAAAUGCCUAGAAAUACAUAAGAAUCUUGUGAAAUGCUCAAGUAAAAUUGAGAGAGAAGGUAGAGAAUCUGAACUCACAAUAACAGUGAUUAAAGAAUCAAAUUUAAAGCUAAAGAUGGAUUGGAUUUUGUUUGGAUUCGAGCCUAUUGAGGAAGCAAACGUCCGUUACUUUGCUGGGCAAGAGAAGACAGAAAAUUAAAGCCUGGGACACAUCUCCCUCGUUUCCUCUAAUAAAACAGAAAAAGCUGUUUAAAAGUAAAUUUUUAUAGCUGAAAAAUAAGGAAAAUAGGGUUCAUAGUUCUCUGCAAUUUUUAAUUUCUUUUUUUUUUUUUAAUUAAAGAUUACUUAACUUUUUGUUACUACCAUUCUAAAAAGUAAUUUGUUAGGCUCCGCUUAUUAGGAAGGAAAAUUACUUUUUUAUAGAAUUAUAAAAUAAUUUAUUUCUGAAAAAUAAGAUAAAUUUUAAGUAACUCAUUUUUUAUUAUUUGACAAUAAUAUUGAAAUUAUUUGAAAAAAAAUAUAUAAAAAUCUACAUGCGGUGUUAAGUUCGCAAGUCCAUCAUGUUGGGCCGACCUCCACUCCAUUAGUUUUUAUGAAUUAUUAUCAUGGGCUUAGUUUUAGGCCCACUUAGAUGGACUUCAUUCUAAACCAUCAAUCUAUCUAUCUACAUUAAUUUAAAUAUAUAAAACUUAUAACAUAUUCGAUUCACAUGACAUAAUUCUAAAAUCUUAAUUUACCUAGUUGUUGAUAUUUUACAUUUAAAGAAAAUUAUUUUUUAAUAUCAUAUAUAUAGAUACAUAUUGAUAACGUGAAAUUAAUAUCAUUAAUAAUCUUAAUAAUAUUUUAUAGUUUUUAAUAAUUAAUAAAACUAAUAAUAUCAAUUAUAUUAAAAAUGCUAAACUUCAUUAUCAACAUUUAAAUGGAGGUAAUUGGUUGACAAGGAGAUAGAGGACAGUUGGUUAUUAAGCAAAAAUAAAUGGAGGUUAAAAGGUCAAUUCCAACAAAGUUGAGCUCAAAUUUGGUUUAUUUAACAAAUCUGAAUCUCUUUUGUAUUCAUGUCAGCGGCUAAAUCAUACAUAUCUCAAAAUUUGCUACUUGUAACAAUUGCAUCUUAAAUUGAAAUUAAACACCUCAGAUACCCCAAUUUCAAAUUUAUGUAAAAUUUGCACUCUAAUUACACAUUCAGUCAAAAUUGGCAUUAAAAUAUAAUAAACACGACGCCACUGUAAUGAACUAACCCAACUCAGGUUAGCUAAGUAAUGCACACCAUUUAGGGAUUGAACAAUUCAUCCCUUCUUCGUUCCUUCUCUCUUUAGUUAAAAUAAACAUCUCAUCUUCGACACCAUAUACUCAAACCCAAUGGUUUAAAAAUGAAAAUAGGUCCAAAGAACAACCAGUAGUACAAAUAAAUAAAUGAAAAGGGAAUUGAGAUAAAAAUAAUUCAUAAAUUGUUGCUGAAAAGAAAAAUCAAAAACAAUGAAAGAGUGUCACACAUUAUCCCAGUAUAAGACGUGGCAUGUUGCCCGUAAUAUGCUUGUUAAGCACUUUUUCUAAAUAAGAACUCAAUUAAUAUAUUACAAAAGGACUUAACUUUUCAUAUUGAAAAUGCAUGUGAGGUAAAAAUUUCAAAUACUAUUCGAAACAUUUUAGAUAUCAUAAGAUUCACUUUUAUAAAAAUCUCGAACUCAAUAAAUUUCAUUUUUAUAAAAGAUAUAACAUUCCACUAUUUAAAAUGUUGUAACUAAAAUUUCAUUAUAAAUUAUACAUUUUCAUACUCAAAUACAUUGGUUAAAACAUUACCCAUAAGUCUAUGAGAAAGAGGAUUACAUAUCGUAUUGUUCCUUUAGAGUCGUAUUAAGACAACAAAUUAGCUUUAAAGGUAACUAAACCUUUUGAGUGCUUUAUAACAUAUAUCAUUAAUUGUAAACUCAUAUAACUUUCAUUACAUUAGUCUGCUCAAUAUAUAUAUUAGUGACCAGUCUCUAUUUUAUACAUCAUACAAAUUCCAAUAAAAUUAUUCAUAAGGCAUUAGCUACAUCAAUAGCUCACCCUUCGAAAGUUGUAGAAAGAACUCAACACUCUUUCAGACUUACUCUCCUACUUCUCCUUUCCUUUUUCCUACGAUAGUAUAGAGAACAACUAUGCUAAGAAUAAGGCUUAAUAAUGCACUAUAUAAAUUACAUGAUAUAAAUGAUAAUUCACCAUUAGAUAUUUAAAAUAUUUAAGUGUGAAAAACAAAUUUCAACAAUUACCUAUUUCAAGAUCAAAACUUAUCAAUUACUUACCGAAAACAAAUGAGUUAGAUAGAAAUAACAAGUAGUCAUAUCAACUAAAUUACAUUCAUUUGCUUACCAAAAAUAAUCAAUUCAAUAGAAAUAUUAUAACAUAUCAAUAAAUCAUUAAUCAGUAGUUUUGUCUCCAUAACUUAUGCAGACUCAAUCCGAAGGGUCAUCAGUGUCUUAUGAGUUCAUCAAGACAAAGCUAUCUCAACCGCAAUCCGUGAUAUGAAUAUCAACAAAAGAGGAAAAAUCUCAAUCUCAUUUAAGAGGGAACAAUAACAUUUGCAAUAUUAUUCAUUGCAUAUCUAUAUCAAUCACAAUAUCAACUUCAACAAAUGAAGUGAUAUCAAGUAAUAACCAUAUCAAACAUUUAACUGUUAGUGUAAGAAUUAAUCUCAAAUAAUUCAAUAAUAACCUAGAUCGUGCAAACCACUAGAUUCAACAAAAUAGAUUGAAUAAGAAAAGGUUGCGUACCUGACAUCGUUGUUCGUCGAUCUUGAUGUAUAAAAUUAGGUUUGCAGCCUUCCAGAGAAUUGAAGAAUCGAUUUAGCGGAAGCAAUACGAAAGGAACGUAAAACUGAAUCGUAUUCAACUCCUCUGGGGACCACGACCUUUAUAUACCUGUAGGGUUAGUACAAUUCCUAUUUCGGUCCUUUAACGAAAUAGGAAUUAUAUAAUGGUCUCUACACUUAAUAUCUAUAAUUAGUUGAUACCUCAAUAAUCAAUUAUUCACAAUCAAGACCACAUUUGAAAUUGACUUUACAAUUGGACUGCUGUACAUAUUUAAUUUUACAUAUUAAGCCCACAAUAGAAAAUUAAAUCCAACAAUCUCCCACUUGGGCGAACAUAUGUUAAAUAAAAUACAUACACCAAAAUGAGCUCAACAAACGCAGUCAUACAAGGUAUCCAAAAACAAUCUCGUCCAUUAGUUAUAUUGAUAAAGAGCUGAAGAAACAUUCGCCAUAGAUCUCAUGACUAAGUUCAUCAUCAACUACAUUACCAAUACCCCUAAAUGACAUAGAUUCAUUAUAGAAGUGUAGCAUGAAAACUACAUGUAAUGUGAUCAUCAUGUCUGUUUCCAACUGGUCACCAACAAAAGUGAGAUCAAGCAAAACAAUAAUAAUAAUACAGAGUGUAACCAUCAACCAAAAUGAGUACUCAACAAAAUUUCAUAAUAAAACAUAUCCAAAAUAAAAUAGAGCAUUCAAAAACAUAAUGUAUGCAUAAAGAGCAAACUCCCACUAAAACUAGACAGUCUCAAACAAAACGAUACCCAUAUGAGCGGUGUGCUCAUGGAAAACUUUCGGUAUCACUGCCUUUGUAAGCGGAUCCGCAAUCAUAGAGUUUGUUCCAAUAUGCUCUAAGGAUAUCUGUCCACUCUGUACCCUCUCCUUCACAGCCAAGAACUUAAUCUCAAUGUGUUUUGAUCGAGAAGAGCUCCUGUUGUUGUUGGAGAAUAAAACGGCUGACCUGCUGUCACAAUACAACUUCAGUGGUCUUUCUAUUCCACCUACUACACGCAGCCCAGUGACAAGGUUUCUCAGCCAAAUAGCUUGAUUGGAUGCCUCAUAAGAUGCUACAAAUUCAGCUUCCAUGGUGGAGGUUGCUACUAGAGUUUGUUUCACACUCUUCCAAGAAAUAGCACCGCCAGCCAAUAGAAAAACGUAGCCAGAUGUGGAUUUUCUACUAUCUUGGCAUCCAGCGAAAUCAGAAUCAGUAUACCCAAUGAUCUCAAGCUGAUCUGAUCUCCUAUAUGUGAGCAUAUGUCCCUUAGUCCUCUGAAGAUAUCUCAUGACUCUUUUGGCUGCUUUCCAAUGAUCCAUUCCUGGAUUGCUGAGAUAUCUACCUAACAUGCCAACUAUAAAAGAAAUGUCUGGACGAGUACAAACUUGAACAUACAUAAGACUUCCUACAGCUGACGCAUAAGGAACCUUUUGCAUUUCCUGAAUUUCAAGUUCACUCUUUGGACAUUGUUGAUUACUAAAUUUAUCACCUUUUGCAAUAGGGGUAUCCAAUGGUCUAGAAUUCUGCAUACUAAAUCUCUUGAGCACUUUAUCAAUAUAGCUCUUUUGUGAUAAUCCAAGAAUACCUCGAGAACGGUCUCGAUGUAUCUGAAUCCCUAAAACAAAAGAAGCUUCACCUAAAUCUUUCAUCUCAAAAUGCUUUGAAAGAAAAACUUUGGUUUCAUGCAGCAAGACUUUACAAUUAGUAGCAAGAAGUAUGUCAUCCACAUAUAAGACCAAAAAGAUAAACCUACUCCCACUGAACUUAUGGUACACACAAUUUUCAACAGCAUUUGCCUCAAAGCCAAACGAGACAAUUACUUGGUUGAACUUAAAGUACCAUUGACGAGAAGCUUGCUUGAGUCCAUAAAUGGAUUUCUUUAAUUUGCAUACCAGAUGUUUUGGAUCUCCAAUUACAAAAUUUUCUGGUUGCACCAUAUAUAUUGUUUCAUCAAUGUCGCCAUUGAGAAACGCAGUCUUAACAUCCAUUUGAUGAAGCUCAAGAUCAAGAUUUGCAACUAAGGCCAUGAUUGUCCUAAAAGAAUCCUUCGAAGAAACUGGAGAGAAGGUUUCUUUAUAGUCAAUCCCUUCCUUUUGAGUAAAGCCUUUUGCUACAAGACGUGCUUUAUAUCUUUCCACAUUACCUUGAGAAUCCCUUUUGGUUUUAAAUAUCCAUUUGCAACCAAUGGGUUUCUUUCCUUCAGGUAAUUGAACAAGAUCCCAAACUUGAUUGUCUUGCAUAGACUUAUACUCUUCGUUCAUUGCCUCAAUCCACUUAUGAGAGUCAGAACUCUGCAUGGCAUGAUAGAAACUAACUGGAUCAUCAUCUAUCAUGUCUACAGUAUCCUCAUGUUCCUGAAGAAACACUAUAUAAUCAUCUGGAAUAGCACUUCUUCUCUCCCUAGUAGAUCUCCUCAAAGGCAUUUGAACAGGCUCUAAUUCUUGAGGUUGUUGAAUUUGUUCUUGAGGAAGAAUAGCAUUGUCUUGAAUUGGAUCUUGAAUAGUGACAGGAGCAACUGGAGUCUGUACGCUAUCAGAAACAACAAAAGGAAUGAGAACCGAAUCAUCCUUACUUGGUUCCUCUUCAAAGACAAUGUUUCUUUCUUUAUUUCUCCCUCCAAAAUCAACAUCCUCAAAAAAUGUUGCAAUUCUCGUUUCAAAAAAAGUUCUGGAAGUAGGAUUAUAAAACUUGUAACCCCUAGACCGCUCAGAAUAUCCAACAAAGUAGCUGCUGAUAGUUUUGGAGUCCAGUUUUGUUUCAUUCGGCUUGUAAGGCCUUGCUUCAGCUGGACAUCCCCAAACAUGAAGAUGCUUUAGACUAGGCUUACGUCCAGUCCAAAGUUCAUAAGGUGUUUUAGCAACUGCUUUAGAUGGAAUCCUAUUGAGAAGAUAAGCUGCUGUCUUUAACGCUUCACCCCACAGAGACUCUGGUAAAGUAGAAUGACUAAUCAUACUCCUUACCAUAUCCAUAAGAGUCCUAUUACGUCUCUCAGAUACACCAUUCAUGCUGGGAGUACCAGGCAUUGUAUAUUGAGGGACAAUUCCACAUUCCUGUAGGAAAAGCGCAAAAGGUCCUGGACGUUGUUCGCCUGAACCGUCAUAUUUACCAUAAUAUUCACCACCACGGUCAGAUCGAACAGAUUUAAUCUUCUUUCCUAGUUGAUUUUCAACUUCGGCUUUAUAAGAUUUAAACACGUCCAAAGACUCAGAUUUUUCAUGAAUGAGAUAUAAGUAACCAUAACGAGAAUAGUCAUCAAUGAAUGAUAUAAAAUAUCUUUGGCCAUUUCUAGCUGCAAUAUGGAAUGGACCGCAAAUAUCUGUAUGAAUCAGUUCUAAAACAUUGGAUGACCGAAUGGCACCUAGUCUCUUUUGUUUAGUCUGUUUUCCUUUAAUACACUCAAUACAAGAAUCCAAACCUGUGUAAUCAAGUGUAUCUAAGAUACCAUCAGAAACAAGACGCUCAAUUCUUGAUUUGGAUACAUGACCCAAACGUCUAUGCCAAAGUACAGCUGAGUUAUCAAUAUUCAACUUUCUUUUGGUACCUCUUGUAGUAACAUGCAGGGAUUCAUGAUAACUAGUAUCAAUGUCUAACAUAUAUAGAUUAUCACAUUCAUUCAAGCAACCAGUACCCAAAACUUUUGAAUUCAUAGAUAAAGUGAAUACACUGUCUCCAAAAGAACAAUGAAAACCAGAUUUGUCCAAAAAGGAAACAGAAAUCAAAUUCCUUCUAAAAGAGGGAAUAACAAAAGUAUCUAUAAGAUCCAAAAAAUAGCCAGUACUUAAACAUAAUCUAAAAUGUCCAAUUGCCUCUACUUCAACCAGAUCGCCAUUUCCCACAUAGACGUAUCUUUCACCGUCAGUUGGCUUUCUGUAGUUGAGGCAGCCCUGCAAUGAAACACUUAUAUGAGCGGUAGCACCAGAAUCCAUCCAAUAAGUGUUUUUAGGAGCUGAAGUUAAAUUAACUUCACAACAGACUAAAACAAGGUACUUACCCCUCUUUGCAAGCCAAAUAGCAAAUUUAGGACAGUCCUUUCUCAAGUGAUCCGUCUUUCCACAAAAGAAGCAUUUUGGCACAUAAGGCUUCUUUUGUACUGGAUCUACAGCAGUAGCAGCAGCAGGUUUCUCAAUAGCCUUUUCAACAGUCUUUGCAAAAGGCCUCUUUCUUUUCUUGUUCUUGCCCUUCCCAGCUGAAGAAACAAAAUGAGCACUCUCUCUUUUGUUAGAAUUCAUCUUUUCCUCCUCAUCAACACAAUGAGAAAUGAGCUCGUUAAGAGUCCAUUUAUUCGGCUGACAAUUAUAGGAAGUCCUAAUUUGUCCAUACUGAGAAGGAAGAGAAUUCAUAACCAAAUGGACUAAAAGGUCAUCUGGUAAAGCCAUACCCAGCGCCUUCAGUCUCUUUGCAAUCUGAGACAUGCUAAGAAUAUGCUCCCGAACACCACCAUUGCCAGCAAACUUCAUGGAGGUUAAUUUUCCUAAAAGUGUUCCCACUUCGGCUUUGUCAUUCUUGACAUAAGCCCUCUCCAGCUCGGCAAGAUAGUUUUGAGCAUUGUUCUUUUCAGCUGAGACAGAGUCUCGAACAUGUUCUGGGACUCCUUUCUGCAUGAUCAUCAGACCUAAGCGAUUAGAACGCUCCCACUUCUCAUACUGAACCCUUUGAACAUCAGUGCUCGUAUCAGUAAGAGGAGCAGGUUCGUCCAUCCUGAAUGCAAGAUCCAAAUCCAUACAGCCCAGAAAGAUCAUAAUGUCUGAUUUCCAAGACUCAAAAUUUGAUCCCUCAAGUUUAGGGACACAAUCAGGAUUAAAUGACAUGUUAGCUGACAUCAGAGAAAAUAAACAAAUAGAUAAGUAUAAGCUCACAAUCCACAAAUGAAACAAUUCACAUAAGUAGAGAUCAAAAAUGGAAAUAAGAUACAGACACAACAUUAAUAUUCUCAUCUUUGGAUGUAAAACAUUAACUUGUAAUUAGUAUCUCAACGCAGCAAUCAAAUAUUGAUAACAUAGUCCUGACAAAUAAUAAAUCUUCCUUUGGGCCGAUAUAUCAUUGUCAUGGAAAAUAAUCAAACAAUUAUCACAUAUUUAUUGCCAAACAUGUAUUCAAAACUCAGCCAGAUAGCAACCUUCCUUUGGGCCGAUUAACUAUCCGCAACGAAUUCUAAUACACCUGUCUAAUAUUCUAAAAUAAAUCAAUUCAAGCAAUAGAGGUCACUUUGGUGACUUAUUGAUCAAAUCAAUUUAUUUUAACAAAUAUCAAACACAAUAGGGACUUAAUCACUCCAAAAUUUAAUCUCAAGUCGACAAAUUAAAUCAUUUAAUUGUAAUUAAAACAAAACAAUUGCAAUUAAAUGAAUUGAUUGUCUAAAUAUUUAAUAAUCUAAAAUUAUUUAGCCCAAAAAAAAAAUUAUAAUCUAGUCCUUAAGUCACUAAAUUAGAGACUAACCUUUAAAACAUCUUCAUUAAAAAUCAAUCAUUAGCCAUAAUGGGUAACAUUUCAUUUUGCUCAAAUAUUUCUAUAUCCCUUCUUUCAAGAUCAUCCUCCAUUUUCCAUUCAAAUGAAUACUUCAUAAAACAUUUAACAUUAGCUCUUUAUUAUUUUAUAUAAAACACAUUUAGCUAUAACUUUAGCAUUUGCUUUCUUUAUAAUCAAUUCACAAAUUCAAUAAUCACAUUUGAAUUUAAUCUCAUUUGAUAUAAAUAUUUGAUAAAUAAAUCAAUUUUUUCUAUUAUAAAAGCUCAUAAAAUAGUAUGCUUAGCAUAUUGCUUUUACCUUGUAACUUUUCAUAAAACAUUUCUUUAAAACUGUUUUACUUAUCACUUAAACAAUAUAAGUUAUAAAUAUAGUGCACUAACAUGAAUUGGAAGGCUCUCCUAGCCUUACUUGUCUACUUAUUGACUUAACUUCCAAUCCUUUCCUCUCAGAUACUGUAGCAUGAAAUUAAUAUUCAUAUUAACUCCAUACUACUCAAUAAACACACAUAUACUAUCUUAAGAAUGUAAAUUAAGUAUUGAAAUGUAGUAUUCAUGCUUUUCCUUCAAUUUCACUAUGCUCAACCAACUACCAUAUGACCUUAAUUUAGGCAUGAAUUACUUUAUUUCCCACACUUAAUCACAUUCUAAAAACAUUAAAAUAACAACUAAAAUAAUGAGACUUAAUAACAUAUUAAAAGUAUGAUAAACUCCUUACAAACUAGUGGAAUAUAGCGUUCCAUGAUAUGAGUAGCCUGCCUUCCUUUGGCUAUAUCUCUAGUUCCUUAAAUCCAUUUGUCAUAAAAUUUUAAAAUAAUCUUUCUCACAUCUCAGGCUACUCCCAUAUAAAAUUUCAUGUAUUUUGGAGCUCAUUUGCAUAGCUAAAUAACCUAAACAGAGUACCUGAAUUUCAAUCAGCAUUUCCACUGAGCAGCCUGCAUUCAUUUAAUUAUAACUCCAUUUCUCUUCACCCAUUGCACUAGCCGUUUUACCACAACCUUUUCAACAUACUAAAAUAGUUUUUUUUUUAUAAAAUUUUAUAAUUUUUGGAACUCAUUUACCUAUUUAACCUAGUCCAUCUUAGUGACUAAAUUUCAGGAUGCUCAAUUGUGAUAGACUUAAGUAAUACUUUACCUCAUUAAGCAUCAUUAACUUAAUUCCACCACUAAUUUAUGCAUAACAAUUCUUCUAACACUUAAAUAGUAUAAUUACCUUUCAUAUAUCAUAAUAACUAAUCCAUAAAUUAUCAAUCAAAUGACUAAAAUUAUCCAAGUUGAUCAAUUAUGCAAACUUGACGUCAAAUUCAUGCUUAACCAUCCUUAAUCACCUUAAAAGCACUUAUAAUCACAUCAUCUCCAUCAAGUCAGCAACAAUAAGUAAGCACCUCAUAUCAUAGUUUAUGGAAAUAAAAAAUAAAACCAUAGAAAAGAAAGAGGAAGAGAAUAUAACCAACCUUUUCUUAAGGAUCACUUGAAAAUUUUUAAGCUUUCAUGCACUUUUAGCUUGCCUUAAGAGUUUUUUCUCUCUAUUUUCAUGGAGUUUUGACCAUUGUUAGCAAAAAAUGAGCAAGAGGUUCCUUAUGACUCAUCACAAAUAGGUGGCAAUCAAAGCCUUUCAUGGUAAUUCCCUUCAUCUCCUUUAGUUGUCUUUUUGCACCUUAAUCCUUUCUUUGAUUCUCUUUUCUUACAAUUGCACCUAAAUCUUUUUUAUAACUUUAUUUUAGUCCCAAUUAGGUCUAAAGAAAGUCUAUUUAAUAAUUUCAGUCAUGUUUAAGCAACAUUAUGCCAAAAUUAUCAAUUUUUGGGACUUGUGGAUAAAAUUGUGCUUUUCUGAAAAAUCAUUCUUCUUUAACUCAUUUUCAAUUCCCUUUAAUCUUUUUAAUUGAUUCAUAAAUACUUUAAUUUCCAUUUAAUUAAUAUUAAUACCCUCUAACUAUAGUGUUUCUCGCCAUUUUCAAUUUCUAGAUUGCUCGGAUAACCGAAAUUACUGAACAAGUUAGAAUAUCAAGAAGUACCAAAUUGAUGAUAUAUAUAUACACAAUUAGACCUUAAUCCAUUAAAUGCUAAAUCAUGGUGCUAGCCUAAGGAGCUUCUCGUGUUAGUUUCUCAUGUUAGCUUCUCAUCAUCAAAGCAAAAUGCAUAUUCAGAUAGUUGAAUUUUAGCAAUUUAGGCUUACUACGGGCUUCGGGGGCUUUAAACUUACCUGAGCCCUAGUGCCGGUCCCGUCCAUGGAAACAGGUCGUGACAAAAGCUUAAGCUCAUUUAACAUUCUUCUAAUUGGAUUUUCAUAACAAAAUUGAUUUCCAUUAAACAUCAUAACUUAUAAUUAAUAGUUCCUCAUUAACAAAUUAAAGUAAUUCCAAUUAUUCUAUCCUUCCGAAUAGCAAUAAUUACCAUAGCAAUCAGAAUAUUCGAGACUGUCAAAUUGGGGAUAUUACAUGCAAUGUGUUAAAAAGCGGGUCUUACACAAUCAUGCCUCACUCUUAUCUGUUUAAAGAGGAUACAUGUAGUUAUAAAUAGAUUUGAGACAAAUACAGAUAGUGAAAUUACAACUCAUAACGAAUAUGAGUAUAGGUCUUUGCAUACCUGGAACCCGUUACCCUAUAUUAAAUGGGUUUGAUAGUGAGUAUCCGCAAUACCCGAUCCAUUAUUAGUAUAAAAUAUAUUUUAAAUAAGUACAUAUUUGGAUAAUUUAAAAUUCAUAGUACCCUACCCAUUUAAGCGGUAUUUUAAAUCGGUUUGGAUAGAUGUGGGUAGUAAAAUUUUUAAACGAAUUCGAAAGGAUAUUUAAAUGUUAUUUAAAUAGAUUGUAAUGAGUAUGGAUAGUAAAAUUUUAAACGAAUACGGAUACGAGUAGCUUAAAAUUUGUGAAUACCCACUCCGGUUUCAUCCCUGCAAUUACCUUUUUGGUUAGCCAACUAAGUCAGAGACACUUAAUUGUAAAUUUUCAAACAUUCAUGCUCUCGAUCAUUAUCCUUUUUUAUUUACAUACUAGAAUAAAAAAAAAAUGAAAAGUUCAAACAAGAAAUAUAUGAUUAUCCUUAAUAAAAUACAUUCAAUCCAUUUUUGUAAUUUUAGCUUAUUUCACCACCAAAAUUCAACAUAAUCUCGAAAUUAAUUUAACCCUCAUGCAUGUAAAAGACUAUAAUUUCCUUCAUAUUAACAUGACAAUUAAAGACUUCCAAAAUUAUCAAAAUAUUUGAAUAUUAUGUAUCAACAUCAUAUUUGAAAAUGCUCUGAAUAAUCUCGACAUCAUUAUGCAUAUCAUGAAAAUAAGCAUGACCAUGGUUUUAAAAUUUACAAUUUCGAUUACAGAAUUGCUGGUUUCAGUAUAAUAAAUAUGAAACUGAAACCAAAUCAUUUUUAGGCGAUUUCCAAAAUGAUUUUAGAACCGUUGCUUUUUGGUCUGAUUUAAAAUCGAAAGUAGAUAUUUUUUUCAAGUUUUUUAUUUUUUUUAGAUUUGUAGCUUGUAUACUAAUAAUAAUAAUAAUAAUAAUAAUAAUAAAUAUAACUAUUGAAAACAUUUUUGUUAUGGUUUUAAACCGAACUAACUAUUCUUAUUAAAAAAAGUGAGGAACUGAAAACAAAUCAUCAAUAGACAAUUUUGUUAUGGUUUCAUACUAUGACCGCUUUUUAUGGUUUGAUGUCAUUUUCAAUCGGUUAAGUGUGAGUAGAUUUCGAUUCGGUUCUAAUUUAAAAUUGAACCAUGAUUAUGCCUACUUAAAGGCAUUAAAUUCGUUUCUGAAUAACCUCCAAACAUAUAAAACUAUCAAAAUAUUCUUUUAUUCAUUACACGACAAAUUAAUACCCAAAAUGCAUCCAGAUAAUUUGAACUUUCAAUUAAACAUUUACUUCAUCAAAUAGGAACUUCAAAUUAAUAAAUGCAUAAAAAUGAGUAGAUAACCUUAAAAAUUAAAUAUAUUAAACAUAACUUCAAAUUAAUAUAUCUCAAUACAAAGAGUAUUUAUUCCCAGUACUAUGUCCUUAUUUCAUACUUUUACCUAUUGUCAUAAGGUCAAUUUGAAGCAUAUACACAAUGUUUGUUCCUAUUCUUCACUUUCUAUAGCAUUUAGAAUGGUGCUGAGAAGCUCCUUGACAAUGUUGGCACCCUUAUGCGCUUUGCCCUCACAAUAGCUAAAAGAAACUGCAUAAAAUCAUCAAAGCCCAUUCACAAUAUAUAUUGUAUUCUUCAAAUUUUGAAAAUUGAGCAUAUUUGAAUUAUAAUUGUAGUUUAACGUGUUAAAUACAGAUUUAAAAUAAUGAGUAUUACAUUAAAAAUACAUUUUAUUAUAUUUCACUAAAUACAACCUAAAUGAAAAGUCUUCGAAACAAACAUUAGUUACCUUCACAGAUAAAAUUGUAGCAUCGUAAAUAUAUAAUUUUAUAUAUAUAACCAAUGUACUUUAAUAAAAAUAAGAUUGUAAUUUAGCAAUGCUAAUUAAAUUAUACCGUCACAAUCUUUUUUAGAAGUUCAUUCUCCUUCUUGAGCUCCUCAUUUUCCAAUUGUUGUUGAGCUUCAAGAGCCUGUGCCAUUGAAGGGAAUGAGGGAAUAAAACAAUAAAUUAAAAAAAAAAAAAAAAAAAAAAGCAGCUUCUUCAUCCCUCCCGUGUCAUUUUAUAUAUAAAAAGGAAAUUUAAAAAAAAAACAUAUUUAUUUAUUUUUUUAAUUAUAUGCUUCUAUUCACAUUAAACCUGUACCUAAUAUUAGGAUCACUGAAGAAAGAAAAUCUAUCAUUACUUCAAACAUAAAAUUUUCUCUAUGAAGAAAAUGAAUUUCACAUGAAUUUAAUCGAAAAAAUAUUUAAAAAAAAAGGAACAUACCUGCUUUCUUGCUCUCGACCUCGCAGCAGAUUCUCUAUUUUUGAUCAUCCUGUGGUGAAGUUUCUCAUAUGUUGAUUUAGCACUACUUGAUCUACCAUUAGAAGUUGAUAUUUUACCACUUUGGCUACUAAAAUUAUUGCUAAUCCCAUACAACAUAGAUUGAUGAUAAGGAUGAUAUGCUCUCGUAGAUCCAUCAACAGUUUGAUGGUAAUAAUUAGGAUUUGCCCUAUCAUUCGAACCUCUCAUUUCACUUCUGUUACCUUCAUCUAAGCUUUUCUGUUUCUUAAAUUUAGAGACAGAUACACCUGUGCUUAGUGAUAGAUCUGUUAUUAAUUGACAAGAUUUUGAUUCUUGAUCUUCUUGGUUCAUUUGUAGAUCAGAGGACAUGUUCUUGGUUGGGAAGUGGGUUUUAGGAGUAACAAAAAAUGGAGUACUUGGUCUUUAUUUAGAUAGUGUCUACAGUAACUGAAGGGAAGGUUUAUAACCAGCAGUGCUAUAGAGACAAAAUAAUUAGAAGACCGUGAGGGACGGUUUCUAUUGCUAUGAAGAUGUAAGCAAAUUUGGUAAGAUUGCAAUGGAGAGAGAAUUGACGAGUGGCAAAGAUUCUAGUUGAAAAUUCAACAACGCACGGACCAAAACCAUAUCUAUAACAAAACGAAACGGUUGAAACCGAUGUUUUUAGUGUAAGCAAGUUUCAGUGAUACAAACAAACCAGAGACAGUCCGUUCAUUUGGAAAAAAAAAAAAAAAUGUUGUAAUUGAGUUCAAAAUAAGUAUUUAGAAAUUUAAAAAGAAAUUCAAACUGUAAACAUAUAUAUAUAACUUAUAACUAUUACAAAGAACCUAUAGAUUAAGGUGAUAAAUUUGAUUUCCAGAAAAUACAUGAGUUUAUCCUUUAAAAAAAUCUAUAAUUGCCUCUUAUAGUUGGGCUAUUGAUUCGAAUUGUUUGUAUAAUAAAUACUGUUGAAAACAAAAAUUACAUAUGACCAUUAAAUUUAAACGAUUUGCCUUACAUUUGACGCGCUUGUUUUGUUUAGUUUAUGUGAUAGCAGUUACUAAUAGCUCAUAAUUUUAAUAUUAGUUGUUUGAUAAAAUUUUAGUGGAUUCGAAUCUGGAUGUAUGACCAAGUCGAGUAUGCAUUUACGACUGGCUAGCUAUGUCUAAGUAUGCUAUUUGGUUAUGAUAUAGAAAUAUUAAUUAAAUUUUAUAAUAAUUUUGAAUAAUUACAAAUAAAUCUUACAUAAAAUUAUUAAUUUGAGAAAAAAUUAAUUUUAAUAUUAAUUAUUUUUAUAAAAUUAAAUAUAAUUCAAAUAUAAAUUAGCUGGUAAGUGAUAAGAAAAAAUCUCGAAAAUGUAUCUAAUGCAAUUAACAAUUAAUUGGGAUUUUGAUCAGCUGCUAAUUAAAAUCUUUACCAAAAUAUCAUUAACUUAGUUGUUAGAAGCAAAUUAGCUAAUAUGUGAACCGCUGAUUAAAUCGAAUCUUAAUAACUAUGGGUAGAUUGUAUAUUUUCUAUUUAAUAAAUAAAAACAUAUUUUAAUAAUCAAUCGUUUAAAACAUAAAUAUAAAUAAGCUAGCAUUUAGGGAGGAACAAUAUAAGUUAGUGGUUGGAAAUUUUUUAUUAGAGAUUACCACAAAUUGAUAACGGCCAAACAGGAAUUAGGACCCAAAAAAUCUAACCUAACAACAACUAUUGCAGUGUAAUGUUAACAUUUGCCCAUUUGAUUGUUUUUCUGUUCCUUUGAAGAGAAAAAUCUUUUGGGUCAUCUCGUAAUAAAUAGUUUCCCAUUUGACCAUCACCGGAGGAAACAAUUCUCUUCCCUUAUUCCUUCAGUUUUCAGGUCAGGUACAAUUUUAUCAUCAUUUUUUUUUUUUUUAAUUUUGUAUUAUUCAUUAAGGCCUUCUAUUGCUAUGAUAUGAGAUCUGCAUUUGGGUAUAAUGAAAAUAGCCUCUUAAUUAUUUAUUUCUGACUUUUUUUUAGUAUUAAUUAUCAUUAAUUGCUUAUACAUAAUCCUUCAAAAAUAUAAAAAUUAGGUUAUCAAUUUGCAAUUUCUUUGUCAUUCAUUGGCAUGUGUACUUGAUUAGGAUCUUAAGUUUGAUUUUUGAUAUUCAGUUUCUAGAGAUAUAAUGAAAAAUAUUCAAGUCAUCUAUGUCUCUUAAAAAAAUAUUCUCAAAACACAAAUGUAAUUUAUAUUAAAAAGAUAAAUUCAUUUGUUAAAAAAUUUAUUUUUAAUCAUGUCAAUCUUUGGAGUUUAUCUUUUAUGCACUUGGAAUUUGCCUAACUUCUUUUUUAUAUAUAUAUCCAUGUCGAAAAUAUUUAACAGGAAGAAGAGCUGCUGAAGUUUUAAAUCAUGUCUUCUCACGAGGUAAUCAUUCAAUUAUUGUAUUAUUAAAGGCUGACUAUAUAAAUUCACUUAUGAAUUUCGUAAUUUUAAUCUUACGCAUCUUGGACUUUGUGAAUAACCUAUUAUAUAUUUGAAUUUGAAAAUUUUUGAUAAUAUUACACACCUUCAAACACUAAUAUCAAUAAUUUUUAGGGGUUUUGGCUUUUAACCGUAAAUUAUCGAUUUGAUAUUUAGUUAGCAUGACUUUUGGAAUAAUAAUUUUGUAAAUUUUAACUUUUUAAUGAGUGUUUAAUUAAUCUAAUUUUGCAAGUUAAAGUGUUCAAUAAAUGCUAUUAUAUAUAUUUUUUCUAAAUGUAUGGUCAGAAAAAUCCUCAUUUGAAUCAAAACAUCGUUUGUAAUUAAUUUGGUGUAUAGAUAGACCCAUAUAUCAAAUGUAGGUAAGUUUUUCCCUUGCCCUACUUAAUUAUUACUUUUGUCCAUUAUUCUCACUUACCAAACCUUCUAAACCUCACUAACUAGACACCUUAGUAAGUGAUUGAAUAUAUAAUUUCGCAAAAUUAUUUAUUGUAUUAGCAUGUCUUAAUUGUAUAUUGCAAUAACUAGUUGUCAAAAAGUUGUAUAAGAACACAGUUAAAUAGAAGACGAAAGGACACCUUUAAUAAUUAAAAAAAGAAAUUGUACAAAAUACCACUAAUAUGUGUAUUGAGUUUGAACAGAUCAAAAUGUCUGAAGUAGGAAAGGAUCAAAAGGAAUCAGCAAAGCUUGUUCAGAAACAUAGUCCAAAUAUAUCUGUGCAGACACCAAACUUUGACACAGCCAACAAGCACCAGAAGAUUAGUUCAUCUUUAGAGAAUUCACCAAGGCUACACAGGGCAUUGUCGAACACAAAAACCUCAAAAAAUUGUCUCUGCUCUCCGACCACUCACGCAGGCUCAUUCCGGUGCCGGAUCCACCGGAAUCCGGCUGGCAUGGUCCGUGGAUAUUCUGUUGGCUCAAGUCUAUCAGAACUAGCUAAUAAAGCACAUUCUAUUAGAGAAAUGGUUUAGAAUGUGAUUAGUUGAAACAAUAUAUAAAUAUAUAUAUUUAUAUAUUGACUAUCUUUUCAUGGCACAUAUAUAUCAUAUGUAUUGAUAUUGAUAAUUUAUUAUGUAUAUGUCAAGGAUGUGUCACUUGUUCUUUUUUUUUUUUUUAAUGUUUUUUCUUUUUAAUCUUAAUAACGUGAAAUUUUUAGAUUUUCCUGUAAGUAAUUAUGAUUGUUGUUGAUGGUUUAUUUACAAAUGAAAUAAAUUAUUGUACAGUGCAUCUUGUAUAAUGCAAAUUAAUUAUUAUCAAUUACUGUAUAAUAAUAAAUAUUAAAUACAUAAUCCCAUGAUUAAAUUGUGGUUUGGAUUUGUCAUUAAAUAGAGCAUUAUGUAUAUCUAUUAUUUCAUCAACAUGUACUUAUUUUUAUAAGUGGAGAUCAUUUUAAAAAAAUUAAAUUAAAUGUAUUUUAUGUCAGUUUAAUUUAUGAAUUUAUAAUAAAGAGUUUGUUCUGUUAAGGAUUGAUUACAUUGUAGUUUAUUUUUAAUUUUAUAAAUGAAAGUUAUUUUUUCAUCUCAAUAGUAUUUUUUUAAAAUAUAAUUCAUUAAUAAUAAUAUUAAGAAUUACAAAUACUCAUAUAAAUCAGACAUAGAACUCUACUAUUAGUAGCUAAUAGAGUUCGCUGAUCCUUUAACAAAUCAAAAGAAUUUAUAUUCUUUUGAAUAAUAAAACUAAAAUUAAAAAAUAUAAUAUGCGAUCUUUCUGCUUAGAUUUAUUCUUGACAAAAUAUAUAAAUCUUUAUAACAGCACCUAGUCCGUUAAGUGUUUUGGACGAUAAAAUAAUAACUCUUCUGAAUCUUCUAUACUUUGAUUGUUUUUCUAAGAAUUUGCAACAUAUGAUGAAUGAUGAGUUUACGAUGCUAUGGCUCAAUAGUAUCAAUGGAGGAACAUGCCGCACUUCUAGGCUAUAUUGAUCAAAGAUUUACACCUAUAAAUCAAGAUAUAAAAUCUCCAAUGAAAUAAAAUUAAAUAUCAUAUUAUUUUAAUUAGUAAUAUACCCUCACAUUGAAGGGAUUACUCCUACAAAGAAGGGAGAAAAAACUCCAAAUAUGGAGACAAAAUAAUAAUAACAAAACCAAAAAAGGACAAAUCUAUUAUAGAAAAAAUAAAUUUGAUUUUAUUAGAGGGAAGGGAAUAAAAGAUUAAAAAUAAAAAGAAGUGAAGCGAAAAGAAAAAUAGAAGGUAGAAGGUAGAAGGUAGAAGGUAGAAGCUACUGCUGAUAAACAACAGUCGCUCCAAAACAAAACUAAGAUUAAAAGGCUAGAGAGAAAAGAGAGAGGAGAGUAACGAGACUUUCAUCUCAAUAGUAAAUAUAAAAGAUUAAGCCAAAUCACUUCAUGUAAUAUAGUGGUUUUCUCCUUUUCUUUUUGCCCACUUUCCGCUUAUAUGAGUGAGAAAAAUUCCAAUUUGAAUGCCAUUAAAUUGACUUGAUGCCCAUGUAAUUUUUUUUUUCCAUUAAAGGGAAUAACAACUCAGAACAACCAAACAGAUCUAUCCUAAGAAACCUUCGUUAAAUCAUUUAGCAAACAAAGCGUGGAUAGAAAAUGACAUUCAAGCAAAAGAGAAAAUGCUCACGAGUAGGAUGCUAAAAUUAACACGGCCCAAUAGAUAUGAAUCCGACCUGAAUCCAGUCAAAUUUAAAUUUUAAAUUUUGGAUUGAUAUGGAUAUAGUUUGGGUAAAAUUCAAAAGUUUUAUUUUAGCUAUGGGUAUUACUAUAAUAAAAUUCAAACCUGAAAUUCAAAAAUCAAGAAGCUUAAAAAUUUAUUAUUUUUUAAAUUAUAAUAUGAAAUUUUUAAUAAAUUGGGAUAAUUACAGUAUAAUACCUAUAUAAAUCACAAUUUUACUCUUAUUGUAAUGUAGUAUAGUCCAAAAUGACUUCACUCUAAUUUUCAUAUAUUAAUUUGAAUUGGUCAAAUUUUUAAAAUUUUAGAUUUUGAAAUUUAAAAUUCAAUUUCUAUUUUUUUUUUUUGAGAAAAAAAUCAAAUUAGAAGUUUCAGGAAACUGGAUACAAAUAUAGAUACAGAUCAAUAUGUUUCUAUAUUUUUUGUAUAGGAAGUCUAAUAAUAAACCAUCUAUACAAAGAAUAAAAAAAUACAAUUUUGAUUUGAAGAAUUCGAUCGAGUUGAACAUAAUAUUUUUGCCAUAGGCCAUCACUUGCUCCACUUGGUGGCUAUUCAUGGCCAUUGUUUGACUACAUAAUCGAUCUACAAGUCUAAUCUGAUUACCUUCAAAUUUCUUUCUUCUAUUAUAGAGGAGAUCUACACUUGUUUCUGCAUAACUAUUCACAUAACGAAAGAUCUUAGACAAUGUCACCAUAACGGUGAUAAUAAUAACUUAGAGCUAAAUCUGAAAAUAAAAUCGAUGUGCAAAAAUAAAUUUCAAUAUUUGAAUGACAAUUCAAAAUAAAUAAAUAAAUAAAAAGAAAAUAUGCGACUAUCGGUGAGAGCUCACCAUUGGCCGCCUGUGAAAGAAGAAAAGAGAAAUGUUUAAGUUUUAGAUUUUGGAAGAAAAAGAAAGCAAUUUUUAAUAUUUAAUUUCAAUUUCAAUUUCACAAAUAAUGAUGACAAUGGUGUGUAAUAUAAUUUUGCAAGAUAUGAAGUUUUUUUAUUCCAUUAAUCUUCCACAAUAUGAUUAUUAAUCGCAAUUAAAUAAUAUAUGUUUUUCAAUUGUCAGCACUCUGUUUGGGUUCAAGUUUUGUGUGAUAAGUAUAAACCCUAUAGCUCAAGGUUAUUAUUGGGUCCUGUGGAUAUUCAGUCUAAUGCCUCUGCUAUGUUGAAGGGCCUUUCUAAGGCUUGGCUUAGGCUUCGAGAGGCAGUUAUGUACGCCAUUGGUAAUGGUGCAUAUACUAAAUUUUGGCUGGAUCAUCAGUAUGUGCUUAUAGAUGUUGUUAUUUCCCAGGUUCCGGAUAUGAAUGUUGGCUGGAUUAUUUAUAAAGUUUUUUUAUAGGUUGCUCCUAAGAGGAUAAAUUUUGUCUCUACUUGCUUGCUUGCUUUGAGGCUUAAGAAAAUUUAGGACCAUAAAUGAAUCGAGCUGAAUCAAACUUUAAGUUGUUUAAGUUUGGUAUGUGAAUGAUAAUAAAACCUCGGGUUCAGUUCGAGCUCGCAUUUUAAUUCGAGCUUGGCUCAUGUAAUAAACAUUAAGCUCAAGCUCGAUUCGAACUCAACUCGUUUAUAUUGACUCAAGUUCAAGCUUAAAUUUAAGCUCGUUAAGAGCUCGAAUUCCAGCUUGAAUUUAAGGUCAUUAAGAUGAUGUACAGUAACUGGCUCUUAAAUAUAUGGAAGAGUUGGAUUGCUGCAAAUCCAAAAAGAAGGAGCAGGGGCGUGGAAGUCCAGCACGUGGGACACGCCCAAGACCAAGAAACGCAGGCACGCCCGUGCCACAACUAGCACACCCGUGCUAGCUCCUAGAAGUCCAAGCAAGCCCGUGUCACAACCAACACGCCCAUGCCGAUGCCGAGGAGCUCAAUUAUGUUUCGAGUGCCAGCACGCCCGUGUCACAACAAGCACGCCCGUGCUAGCUCCUGGAAGUCCAAGCAUGCCCGUGUCACCCCAAGCACACCCGUGCCACUGACCUUGCUAAGAUUUAACCUAGUUAUGACUUUUGUGUUAUUUUUAGGGUUUUUUAUAUUUUAGCCUAAACAUAUAAAUAGGCUACUUUGUUAUUUGGAAACACAUUAUUAUUCUUGGAUCAUUAUUCAUAUCAAUGAACCUCUUUAAGAGUUUAUUUCACUACUUUAUUCGUCAGAUCAAAUAUUAUUGAUCGAAACUCCUGACGGAGUAUAAUCGUUAUUCCCAUUCAUGUAACCGUUCUGCGUCAGUUGGUAUCAGAGCCAAAAGGCGAAGUAUCUCCAUGGCCAACAAUCAUGAGACACGACUCACAGCCAUAGAGGCGAGAUUCAAAGAGUUAACCGAACAGAUUAGACAGUUGACUCUUGCAAUCCAACAAGGCAACCCACAACCUACGCUCCGAAUUAGCAGCAACCAGAUUAUAUAAGGCGCCAAAAUCGUUAUGAUGGAGGCCGAGAUUAUAGAAACAAUGGUGAAAACUUUCAUGAUGGAUAUAAAAUAAAGGUGAACCUUCAACCUUUCUCAAGAUCAUUAGAUAUUGAAAGCACCCUUGAUUGGCUGGCAGAGGUCGAACGAUUCUUCGAGAUUAUGAAUGUUGAGGAUGAACGUAAAGUCUCCAUUAUGGCCUAUAAACUAAAAGGAGGAGGAGCAGCAUGGUGGCAUUCUGUUCAAAACAAACGUCAUCGUCGAAGGAUUGAACCUAUGCGAGAUUGGAUUUUAAUGAAAUAGAUGAUUGAGCAACGUUUCCUUCCCAGUGAUCACUCUCAAAUUUUGUAUAACAAGUAUCAUGACUGUUUUCAAGGAAACCAAAAAGUUGAUGAGUAUGCAAAAGAGUUUUUGAGAUUAUAGGCUCGUUGUGACAACAAUGAACCCGAAUCCUAGCAGGUAGCUCAUUAUCAGAGGGGACUGAACCAUGAUAUAAUGUGUAUGAUGGGUGUAGUUGUAAUUUCUACACAGGCAGAUGCAAUUGAGAUGGCCAAACGUGCAGAACAUAGAAUUAACUGGCAGCUUCGACAACCGUCUAAUCGUAAUCAGAACUUCAGGCAACAAUAUUCACCCAAAAAUCAACAGUACAAUAGAAACUAUAGUGGAUAGAAUUCAAGAGCAGCAACUCCUAUUAAUAACCAAAAUUCACAGCAGCCCUCAACAAAAGAAAAGAAAGACUCCCGGGGAAAGGCACCCAUGGCAGACAGAAAUAAUAAGUCGACUCCAUAUCAGAAGCCAACCAGAGACUAUUGUUAUCGUUGCAGAAAACCGGGGCAUACGUCUAACUUAUGUCCUAAGAAAAGGGUGGCUAAUGAAGGGUGUCGACAGGUUAAUGUAGUUGAUGAGGUGCCUGACGUUGAAGAAGGAGAAGAUGAAGAUGAAGGAUCCAUGGCUGGUUCAGAAGAAGGCGAGGUCACGUUUGUUAUUUAGAAAAUUUUGUGUUCUCCAAGAAAAGAAAGGGAAACUCAACGGAGAAAAAUUUUCCAAGCUAAAUGUCGGGUUGGUGAAGCAGUGUGUCGACUCAUUAUUGAUAGUUGCAGUUGUAAAAGUUUGAUAACCAAGUAGCUGGUUGAAAAAGCUAAAUUUACCACAUAACCACAUCCUUCACCAUACAAGGUAGGGUGGAGUAAAGAGGGUCCAACAAUUGAAGUAAACCGGGUUUGUAAGGUUCCUAUUUCAAUGGGAAAGUCCUACUCAGACUGUGGCAAUUGUGAUGUUGUGGAUAUGGAUGACUGCGGGGUAUUAUUAGAACGUCCAUGGCAGUUUGAUGUAGAUGCAUUGCACAAGGGUAGAGAGAACUCAUACAUGUUCACUUGGAAAAAUAAGAAAAUCAUUGUCCUUCCUUCGGGAUCUUUUGCCAAAGCUUAUAAAGUGGAGGGAAAAUCCAUAGUAGCUGUUUCUUCCAAUGUGCAGGAAUUAUCUGGUGCCAUUGAGAAGUUCGAGGGUGCAUUGGCAUUGCUGAUUAAGCCAGAGACAGGCUCUAAUGAAGGGGCACUAGUACCAUCACCAGUCAAGGAGUUGCUAGAUGAGUUUUAUGCCGUACUUGAAGAACCAUCUACACUUCCACCAUUGCGGGAUAUUCAACAUCAGAUUGAUUUUAUCCCUAGAUCGAAGAUACCAAACCUGCUCCAUUAUAAAAUGAAUCCAAAGGAGAGCAAGAUCCUUCAAGAACAAGUAGAAGAAUUACUGAAGAAGGGACAUAUCUGGGAAAACAUUAGUCCUUGUGAGGUUCCUGCUUUAUUGGUACCAAAGAAGGAUGGGACUUGGUGAAUGUGUGUGGAUAGUAGAGCCAUCAACAAGAUCAUGGUGCAGUAUCGAUUCCCUAUUCCUCAUCUGAAAGACAUGUUGGACCAACUGUCAGGAUCUAUAGUGUUCUCCAAAAUAGAUCUUUGCAGCAAGUAUCAUCAAAUCAGGAUCAAGGAGAGAGAUGAGUUGAAAACUGCAUUCAAGACUAAGGAAGGAUUAUAUGAGUGGUUGGUUAUGCCAUUUGGGUUGACUAAUGCACCGAGCACAUUCAAGCUACUUAUGACUCAGGUUUUACGUCCUUUCUUGUGCAAAUUUGUGGUUGUUUACUUUAAUGACAUCUUGAUUUUCAGUCGCAGCAAGGAAGAACACCUUCAGCACCUUCGAGGGGUGUUGGAUGCUUUACAUAAAAAUGAGUUGUACAUCAACCUUAAGAAGUGCAAAUUUAUGACGAAGCGGAUUCUAUUCCUUGGUUAUAUUGUUAGCUCGAAAGGAAUUCAUGUUGAUGACAGAAAUAUUGAGGCCAUUCGAAAUUGGCCUAUUCCCAAGAACAUCACUGAAGUUCACAGCUUUCAUGGUCUUGCUUGAAAAAUGAGAGAGUUCAACAAUUUGUGUGGACUGAAGCUGCAAAUAAAAGCUUCGAAGAAAUCAAAGAUAAGCUUACUUGAAAAAUGAGUCAUGUGAAAAAAAUUUUUAAAAAAAUUAAUAUUUUCAUUGUUUCGGGUGGGAUCGAGUUAAACAAGGUAUUUAAUCGAUCCACCCGAUCCGAAUAAGGGAUAUACAUCCCUCAAAUUAUCUAAUCCAAUCGGUUUGGUCGGAUCGGGUUAGGUUGUUCAGGUUUUGCAGAACCCUACUACAAAUUGUCCAUUUUUUACCUUUUUUUUUU
rnacentral:lncRNA from 1 species